rnacentral:lncRNA from 1 species
GAUGCAGCAUUCAGCGAAAUAGCAAAAUUGGAAUUUUGUUUCAAAACCAAGAUCAUCAAUAUGCAUUUUCAAUUUAGAUGGUACGAUAUAGAUGUGAAUUCUUCAAGCAUCAAAUGUCCAUUUACCAAUCUGGAAUUUGAUAUGUUACCGCAUUUUUAGAAGGAAAAAUAAGCGAAGAUAAUAAAGAGACUACUAAAACUGAUCUUUAACUUAUUAUGAGCUUACACAAACUAUAAAGAAAUCCUCAAGGAAAACCAAAAGAGCUUACAGGUCAUUGGAGAUGAGAUUAGUAAGUUGCACAUUUUCUCCAAAAAAUCACUACCCUGUUACCAAAUUCACAUUUCUCGAAUAUUGAUCUAAUGCUUAGGAACAUAUGACUUUUUAAGACCAAUUCUGCUUCAAAUUAACAUGAUAAAAUUUUUUUGGUGAGAAAAGUUGAGAUGUUUGCUAAAACCAUACAUAAUAUCCAUUAAGAACCACAUUUUCUAGUAUAUGAUAACAUCAAACAUCUGAACUGACUUACCUUGACCGCUCAAUGAAUAGGUAGUUAUCCACCAUUCAAUUCUCAAAAGAAAAACUACACAUAAAUGGUACAAAAUUUUCAAACUUUGCUAUUGAAUUUUCUAAAUUUCACGUAGCCCAUAUUAAUUUUAUAUAAAGUACAAGAACAAUUCACUUCCAAAAUGGUAAAAAUUCCAGCUUUUCUUGGAUUCGUCCAAAAGUAAGAACUUCAUUAAUAUUAUUAAAGCCCAUUACGAAAAAAGCUUUCUUUUUCUAAUCUACCAGCUUAUGUCAAGAAAAUGAACGCAUAGUGAAAUGUAAACCGUGUGUUCGAAUUUAAAAAAAAAAAAAAAAAAAACUCAUUUGAGUAAAAACUCGAGUAAUGAGCAACCUCGGGAUGCUGAGGGCUGGAAAGGCUUUCUUUAUACUUCACCCAGCGUUGGCUGAGCUGAGCUAUAGUGUCGCCGGUGAGGGCUAGAGAGGCGGCCAUGAAUGCUUGCUUCACCGGGAACUGGUAACCGGUUCUACCGGUUAUAUCAGCUGAAUUAGAUGAGGAUUUUGAUUCUCUGAUGCUUCUUUUUCUUGGACUUCUUCUCCUAUUGUUGUUGAAAUCAUGGAAAUUCAGUUGUCCCAUCCCAAAUGGACCCCAAUUUCCACCACCACCUAACGACCCCAUUCCCCUCGAAUUUACCGAGACGCUAAUCUCAGCCUCAGGUAUCACUUGUACUCGUAGUUCUUAUUCGCCUCAGAACUUUUUUUUUCUUCUCAAUAUAAGAAUUUAUUCUUUGGCCUCCGGCAAUACUAGGCAGGGGAAUAUUGACUAUUCCUUUUCUUUUUCCUUUUUUCCUUGAUCUAGUUAAUGUAGUUAACUACGACUUGAUAAUUCAUUACUUAAUUGGAUCUUUUCUCUAUUUUCUCCUUGGCAAGAGGGAUACUACCUUUUUUUUUUCAGUUCAAGAAAGGCACUACAAAUACAAUGGAAAAAAUUAUUGUGUCCGGUGUUCAAAUACGCAUUUAUUAAGAUAUAUUUCAGGUGUUAUUUUUUUAAAUAUAAAAUUAAUUAAAAAAUAAAUAAAUACAAGAAUGAAUAAUAAUUAUUAAUAUAUAUAUAUAUAUAUAUAUGUGUGUGUGUGUGUGUGUGUGUGUGUGAAUGAUAGGUUAGUUAAUUUUUAGAUACGUUAACGAAGGUUAAAUACACACAUGUUAGGAAAAUCCCAGAAAAAAAUCAAGAAUCAAGGGACACCAUACACGUACAAGGGAAAAAAGCACUUGAAAAUCAAAUCAAGAAUUCCCUAGUUACAAUACUAAUGUUUAUAACAACUGGUCUAAAUCAAAUAACAACGGAACUGAAUCAUGAACACAAAUUUUUAGUUUGUUUAUUAGACCUCUGGGCUCCACUUGGGGCAUUUUAUUUCUUUUUUGUGGUUAAAUUAAUUUGAUUAAAGUAGUUGACAAAGACUUGCAUGUAAUAAACUACUACUAUAUGGAGUGUGUGUGUGUGUGUAUAUAUAUAUAUAUAUAUAUCAUAAUCAACCAGCUCCACGGAACUUGGUAAUUUAAGUACAAGAUCAGGAAGAUAAUCAAGUACUUGAAUUUGAUUGAAUUCAAUGAUCCGAGCUUCAGCUUGAUAAAUUAAUGAAAAGGUUCAAGUCUCCAAUCAUCAUCUGAGUCUAAUCAACUACAACUGCUCUGGCAACAUCAACUUCCCAUAAAAGUCUUCAUUCAAAGAAAACGGGAAGGGCAGUUCAAAGCAAGUGUUGCACAAGGAUCAGCUACCCAGUAGACACAAAAGACAGCAAAAAAGGAUCCUGCAAUCAAAGAGGAUAGGGUCAAAGGUCAUGGCAAUCUAAACUCCGAUUGUGAAGUAGAGAUGACAAAUAUCCAGACUUGCAACUUCUAUUCCCAAUUCACAGUGUUUAGAGGCAAGGCAAGUUUUAAGCCAUAACUUAGGCUUUGUCUCCUGUAUAGAGCAUACCAAAAUGGUUAAAAACCUGCGAAAAAAACCAAUUAUAAAAUGCCCUGGAUUCAUCAUGUUGCCGUAUCAUAUAGAACAAAGGUUAUUGAUUUCAAGAAAACAUUGACAACUCUGACACUAGUCACCAAUAUAUUGAGAUUCCUAAUCUACAGCCAUGACUAACAUAAAAGGAGGUCAUUGACAUUGAUAUCUAGGAAGAACAUCGGAGGCAUCAUUUUCAAUGCAUGAUAAAGUCCGUUGAUGUAAUUCGACAACUAAGAGCAUAUACUGAGAUAGACACUCAGGAGUAGUUGUUCUAGUUUUAUCAAAUUUACCAUUCCUAUAUGAUCCAUUACAAAAAAUCUUUUGGGGUUCAUCAAAUAAUUAGUGGGGUUGUUCCCUACAUCUCUAACUCUUUGGCAGCCCUGGAUUGGGCAAUAAAGCACAAGUGAACUUUAUAAAAUGGAAGCCGAAAGAGUUUGCAGGCAAGUAGAAAAUGAAAAAAUUGCAAAACAUGAAUGCCCAAGGAUAGACACAGAAAUCAAUCUUAUGAAGAUGUUAAGCUAUUCAGCAAUUGACAGUUCACCUGCAUCAUUGUGCAAGCAGUAGGGCUUUCAGAAAGCCAACCAAGAUGGACUGCUUCCACAGCUCAAUCUUUUCAACUUCACAAUCCUCUCCUCCAUUGCCAUCUUCAGAAGAACCAGAGUCAGCCGCAUUUGGUAGACCUUCCAAUUCUUCUUCUCCUUCAAUCAGCAAAGCUAGACUCUCCGUAUACCGACCAACAAAGAAUGAAUCUUUGGUGCCCAAAAUUCCAAUGUAUUUAAUUUCUUGAAGCCUUGGAUCUGGAUCAUAUGAAUACAGUUCUCCGUCACUUGCUGUCAACAAUAUAUUACCAUCCUUCCUAAAACUCAAUAUCUUCCCCAAUUCUCCUUCAAGAGCUACUGUGUACAUUUUGCUCCAAGACUUUACAUCGCCAUAUACUGUCAUCAACCAAAUGGAACAGCUUCCAGUCCCAACACGCUUAUCAUAGUUGAGAACAGCAAUUGAAUCCUCACAAACAGAAGUGCACAUAUUUAUUGGACACUCAACAGCCAAAGCAUCAGGCAACAACAGUUCCUCAAACACCUCAUUGCUCAAAUCAAACACCAUAAUCAAAUUCUCCUUCUCUUCAUUCAACCUAUAAGCAACCCAAUGCACCUUUCCGUUCACAAACGCCUGAGUCCAGAAGUUCUCAAUCACCCAGUUUUGAGCCAAAUCAACAUCAAUCUCCCUCCAAUCACCUACACCCAGCGCAAAAACUUCAACUAUGGGAGGCAACUUAUACCCGCGUCUAGACUGAUCAUAAGCAAUCCUUACAACCUUAAAAUCAUUGUUUUUCACGUCAUAUCCAAAUCCAACCACAAACAUAUAAGUCCCCAAGUUCUCAAAAACGGCGCGGGGCACAGGAAGAAUCAUUUUUCGCCUGAUCGAAGGGUUCCACAGCAUAAUAAGGUUUCUGUAUCCAAAAAUAUCCUCAGACAAACACAGUAACCCAUUGCAAAAACCCACAAUCCUGAAAUAAAACUGAGCUAAACGGCGAAAAGGGAAGUCUAUUUUGACCUCACUUGCCACAGUGGAAUCUUCAUUGUCGUGGUGUACAGAGUAAAGUUCAGUUCUUUGGGGUUUGGAAUAGCACCUAACAAGCAUCCUAUCAUCUGGGAUGGUGGGUUUUGAGAGAAAAGCUUCUCUGGUAUGCAGAGAAAUGAAAUCAGGACUGGAGAUCAAAGAUUUCCAUGAUUUGGAUACGCACCUGAACCUUAUGAGAGACUUUGCAGGAACCCUUGUGAGGAUUCGGGUCACAAUUUCUUCAGGGAUGAAAUUGGACAUUUUUUUAAAGGACCUUUUUCUGGAUUUAGUAGUAAAAUUAUAGACUCUUGAGUGAGGCAAAGAGACUAUAAAGACUGGAAAGAUUAAACCUUUUUUGAGAAAAGAAUUUGAUGAGCGGAGGGUUUCUACUUGAUUCUGGACAUAAUUCAGAGUUCCUCUGCUCGCACUACUGUGGAGCUGUGUAGUCCCUUUCCAGGUUGAGCUCAAGUGAGCAGGGUCGAAUGGAGUUUUGAUCUGAUAGAGCCGGGCUUUCGAGCUUACUCGGGCUUAAAAAAUAAAAAAUAAUUAUAUUAUUUUUUUAAAAAAGAGUAAAAUAGUAAUUUUUUCUUACAAAUAAUAAAAUAUUAGAAUAUAUAUAUGUGUAAUUUUAUUAUUAAAAUAAAAAAUUAUAUAUAUAUAUAAAUUGAGCAGCUCACGAACUAAUAAGCUGAAUUUUUCUGCGUUUGAUGUUAACUAGACUCGAGUCGAAUUUUGACUGAACUGACUCACAAACACUUGCGAGCAGCUUGAUUCGAGCACUAUUCCCUGUUAUAAAGAAGUUCCAAGAAAAAAAUCGAUUGAUUUAAGUGUGUUUGGACAGUAGAUCAUUUGGGAUAAUUUUUUGAAAAAAAAUACUGCAUCACUUUUUUGAUAUGACAUAUGUGGGAUAAAAAAAAUAGUUGAAAAAUGUGUUGAUAAUACAAUCAAAUAAAAUUUAACAAAUAAUCUUUCACCAGAUAUUAUUUCAACCUUUACUUUUUAGUUGAACAAGAGCAAGAAGAAUAUUAACAAUAAGACUAAUCAAACAUGCCAUAGCAGAAUUUUUUGCAUAUCUGUGUUUGGACAGGAGAUUAUUUGUCCAAAUAUAUUUGUUUUCAUCAUCAUUACAAUUUCUAAUACACUUUUUUAUCUUUCUAAUUAUUUUUUGAUUUCAUAUAUAUCACAUCACAACAAGUGCUACAGUAAAAAAUCUCAAAUAAUUUACAAUCCAAACACAAGCCAAUGCUCUCUCUUUCCACUUCUUACAUUUCGAUAUGCACACAAGUCUAUUCAAUCUAAGGUAAUCUCAACAAUGAUUUUAACCGUGAAAGGAUUAUCUUUAUUGGCAGAACCUUAUUCUAAGGUGAACAGAAAUGCUCCUUAUUAUUCACUGUGAUGUUUAAUCUAAUCCUUGGAAAUUCUUGUCAUGCUCCCAUUUGAAUUGUUAUUUUUGAAAUUUUCAUAAAAAAAAAAGUACUAUAACAAUUUGAUACGUGUGAAAUAAAAAAGUAACUAAAGCCACGUGAAUAAGGUGUCUAUAGUUGACUGCCAAGCAAGAUUGUAGAGUUUUACUAUUAAGACCCAAAUAAGUACAGCCACAUACGUUUACUUUUGACCAAUUUGGUUUCUUUGUUUUGUUUUACUUUUGACCAGUGAUUGACUAGGAAGGCCUACAUUUACUCGUCUUGUUUUGUAUAAUUUAAUUUGAUUAAAGUAGUUGAGAAGGACUUGAAUGUGUAUUUUCUUUCUUUUUUUUUCUUUUUUUCUUGUUAAGGCGGGAUGUUUCUUGUCCAAAAAAAUGAUAAAAUUUUAGGAAAGCAGUCGAGUCAAAAUGUAAUUAACUACUGAUUACGUCAUUAAUCCACCUUGAUCUUGGAAAUUCUAAUAGACUAGUACCCGAGCUCCAUGGAACUUGUCAAUUGUAUACAAGCUCAGCCAGAUGAUUAUGUACCAGAAGUCAAUUGAAUCCAUUAAUCCAAGCUUGAGCUCCACUAAGCUAAUUCAUGAAAAGGCUGGAGUUGUCUCUUAAGUAUGCAAGCAUCAAGUCUAAUCAAGCUACGUUACUCAAAACUGCAGCUGCUUUGGAAAAUCAACUCCCAUACAAGAGUCUUCAUUCAAAACAAAAUGGUACCAAAAAAGAAAGAAAGAAAGGAUAAUCAAAGAAAGUGGAUUGGGAAGGGCAGUUCAAAGAAAGUGAAAACGAAGACAAAAAGGUUUCACCCAUCUCAGCAAGUGCCGCACAAACAUCAGCUCCCCAGCAGACAAAUCAGACAGCAAACUGCCGGAAUUUACACAAAAGGAUCCUGCAAUGAAACAGGAUGGGGUCAAGGUCAUGGCAGUCCACAUUGCAAUUAUGAAGUAGAGAUAAGAUAUCUAUCUAGACAAUCAACAUUUUUUCCCAAUUCACAGUAUUUAGAGAUAAAGCCCAGUUCCAAGCCAUCCCUUUAGAGUUGUCUCCUACAUGGUUAAACACCUGCAGAAGCCAAUACUACAAUGCCUUGGAUGCAUCAUUUUGCUGACCAGAUAGAAUGAGGUUCACUGAAUUCACAAAACAGAUGCAUAAAUAUCAUUCAGGUGAAAAAUACAACAAAGUUUCCUUCAAACUUCGCUAUAGUUAAAAUAACGUCUCCUCUCAAACUUCAGAUAAACCCUCCGUACAACUUUGACACCAGUCACCAAUUCAUUUGGCAUUCCUAAAUUACAACCAGGCAUAACCAAAAGGAGCAGGUCAUUUAAAUUAACGUCUACGAAGAACACAGUACACAUCAUUUUGGAUACACGAUAGAGUCAGUCGACGUAGUUUUAGAAACUAACAGCAAAUCCUAAAAUAAAAACUCAGGAGAAGUAGUUCUAGUUUUGCUAAAUUUACCAUUGCUAAAUGGUCUGUGAAAAAAUCCUUUUCGGGUUCAUCAAAUGGUUAGUGAGGUCUUUCCCUAGAUAUCCAGCUGUUUAGCAGCCCUGGAUUGGAUGAUAAAGAAGUUGUGAAGCAUACAAAAAGGAAGUUGAUCGAGUUUGCAAGCAAGCAGAAAUUCCAAAAAUGCAAGACAUGAAUGCCCAAGGAUAGAUACAAAAAUCAGUCUAAAAUCAUGUAGAAGCUAUUCAAAUUCAAAUAUAUCAGCAGUUGAACAUUUACCUGCAUCAUUGUUGUUUGUUCAAGCAGAGCUUUCAGAAACUCAACCAUCAUGGACUGCUUCCAGAGCUCAUUGGCUUCAACUCUGUCAUCCUCUCCUUCAUUUUCAUCUCCAGAAGAAUCAGAUUCGGCCACAUUUGGCAGACCUUCCAGUACUUGUUCACCAUCAAUCAGCAAAGCUAGGCUCUCUGUAUACCUAUCCACAAAAAAUGAAUCUUUGGUACCCAGAAUUCCAAUGUACUUAAUUUCUUGAAUCCUUGGGUUUGGAUCAUAUGAAUACAAGUCUCCAUCUCUUGCUGUCAACAAUAUAGUACCAUCCUUCCUAAAACUCAAUAUCCUCCCCAGUCCUCCUUCAAAAUCUACUGUGUACAUUUUGCUCCAAGACUUUACAUCACCAUAUGUUUGCAUCAACCAAAUGGUACAGCAUCCAGUCUCAACAUGCUUAUCAUAAUGAAGAACAGCAAUUGAAUCUUUGCAAACAGAAGUACACAAAUUUAUGGUACACUCAACAACCAAAGCAUCAGGCAACAACAAUUCCUCAAACACCUCGUUACUCAAAUCAAAUGCCAUGAUCAAAUUCUCCGUCCUAUACUCCUCCACAUUCAACCUAUAAGCAACCCAAUGCACCUUUCCAUUAACAUAUGCCUGAGUCCAGAAGUGCUCAAUGAUCCAAUUUUGAGGCAAAUUAACUUCAAUCUCCCUCCAAUUACCUGCGCUUAGUGCGAAAACUUCAACUAUUGGAGGCAAGUUAUACCCACUGUCUGACUGAUCAUAAGCAAUUCUUACAACCUUAAAAUCAUUACUUUUCAAGUCAUAUCCAAAUCCAAGCACAAACAUAAAGGGCCCUAAGUUCUUGUAAAUAGCUCGGGGCAAAGGAAGAGUGAUUUUCCGCCUGAUCAAAGGGUUCCACAGCAUAAUAACAUUUGUGUAUCCAAAAAUGUCAUCAGACAAACACAAUAACCCAUUGGAGAAACCCACAAUCCUAAAAUAAAACUGAGCUAAACGGCGAAAAGGGAAGUCUAUUUUGACACCACUUGCCACAGUGAAAUCUUCAUUGUCGUGGUGUACAGAGUAAAGUUCAGUCCUUUGGGGUUUGGAAUAGUGCCUGACAAGCACUCUAUCAUCUGGGACGGCGGGUUCUGAGAGAAAAGCUUGACGGGUAUGCAGGGAAAUGAAAUCAGAGCUGGAGAUUAAAGAUUUCCAUGAUUUGGAUACGCACCUGAAUCUUAGGAGAGACUUUGCAGGUACCCUUGCGAGGAUACGGGUUACAACUUCUUCAGGCAUGUAAUCGGACAUUUUUUCAAGGCAUGUAGUCGAGCAAAAUGUUCUGAGUAGGAUAGUCGUAGUAGUGUGGAGUUUUCUAGUAAGAACCUGGGCAACUUGUUUUCCUCUGCCCAACUAUAAGCCUAUAAACUAAAGAAGUUCCAAGAAAACCUUUUAAGUUUUGUCUUUUUGUCCCAAAGGGUCGAGGGGAGUUACAAAAGGAACUGUAGUAUCAUCGGAUCAAAUGCGUAUCUGUACACUCGCGAUUAAAUGCAAGACAAGAGAUUUGAUCUCUUAACCUAUACUCAAAGAAAAUUUUAAGCCUCUCCCCCAUGGCUCGUGGCUGAGUUGAGUUGGUUAUGUUUCAAGAAAACGGAAUGAUUUUUUUUCCCUUUUUGUUUUAAUUUUUCUUUUCAAGAUUAGUAAGUGAUUUAAGGAGGAUGCUUUCUUGGCUAGAUUUUAGUUAGGGCAGGAUCGUUUAAAAAAAAAAAGAGAUGAUAUUGGUAGUUCCAAAAAAAAAAAAUUUUCCAAGCGCCCCAUCCUUCAUUUUUGGUUAAUUAAAUGACAAAAAAAUUGUUUGUAAAUUGUCCAGUGUGCAUUUCUCGGUAACUCGUAUUAUUUUAUCUCUUUGAUUUUUUUUCAAAUUUUUUAUUUUAUCUCUUACAUCUGCCCUAAAUUGCUGUAGUAUUAAGAAUGGAGAAAAUUUUUUAUAACAAUGACUGAAUAAAUGUUGUUUGAGUAUGAAUUGUUUAGUAAUUCUUGAUUAAAGUACAAGCCUUCGUAGUUGAGAGCUGUCUGUAAUUUUUGACAUGUUCAUUUGUUAGGUGGAACUUUGCAAAUUUAACGAAAUUUAUAAUUAUUUUAUAUCUUUUUUUUUAAGUUUUAAGACUUUGUAAUUAAAAUUUUAUAGGUCUACACAAAAAAUAGACCAUUUACUAUGCUUUGGGGGUACUUUUUGCAUUUAAAUGUUAGAAAAUCUAGUUUAUGGCUCAAUUCGUUGUUGUCAAUAAUAAUGAACAAGGAUGGAACUGGAGAUUGCCUUAAAAAAAAAAUUUUUGGAGAGCCAAUAUCAUUGGACAUAUAUUAAAAAAAAAAAACAAAUUUACCAACCAUCUCUCCUUAGUCAACUUACCGAGAAAAUCAUAUGGUUAAUAAAAUCGUUGUAUUGCAGUGUUUUUGCAUCAUUAAUAAAAUCGUAUAUAGUUAAGCAACAGUUUGUAACUCUCAUUUGAUAAUAAGCCUAAUCAAAUCAAACACUUGAGUGAUUAAACUUGUUCAGUUGUUUAUUUAUUUACCGAGUUUGAAAUUGUGUUCAAAUUCGAUUUAUUUUUUUCCAUUGAGCCAGACUCAAGUGAUCUUUUAUUUGGUUGAGUUCGAGUAGUUUGAAUUUUUACAUGUAAAAUUUUAAAUUUUAUGCUAAUUAAACCAAACGAGUUGAAUUUAAAAUUUUACCGAACAUAAAAUGAAGUAUCAUUUAUGUUUGACUUGAUUCGUAUUCAAAUCAAAUGGAACGAGCUCUUAUGAGUUGAACCAGAUUUGACUUUAGAGUAUCUAGUUACUUGUCUUUCAGCCCUAAGAACAUUGCUGCUGUUGUCAAAUGUCUAGUUGAAGUGAAGUAGAUAAGACAGUGAAGUACUUGUCCUGCUGACGCUUUUGAAAUCAAAUCUCUUCCGAAUACUCUCUUUUCACUUCCAACAUUUGGAUAUGCAUCUGCACACAAAUUUUUUUUUUUUUUUUGGGAGCAUAUGAACAGAAGUUGAAUCUAUCUAAAGCAAUCUCUGCAAUGAUUUUAACCAGGCAGGGCCUAAUCUUGAUUGACAUUCAGCAUUUGCAGAAGUUUAUACACAGGUAAAGAAAGAAAGAUGCUACUUGUUAUUCUCUUCUACGUUUAAUCCUUCAAGUCUUUUCAUGCUUUGAUCUUCUAGCUAUCAAUCAUGACAUCCUUAUUAGAUUGAAUCAUGCAAAGAACCUGUAACAAUGUGUAUAUGUACAUCUUCAAUUCUCAAUAGAACCAGAUUUAGAGUAUUAGACCUCUGUAGUUGACUGCAAAUCAAGACUGCAGUCCUGUGGAAACUAUUAGGACCCAAAUGCUUGAAGUAUCUUUAGACAAAACCAAGGAAACACUCCAAUACAGCCGAAUGACCGUGAUCAAGUGAAUAAAAGAGAUGUCAUAGUUGUUGUCCUUCCCUUAUUGAAAAGAUGUAAAAUUUGCCAAAAGACAGUUUAAUAUUGAACUCAAGAAGGAAGACCUAUAAAUGAGUAGAGUGGAUUGAUGGACCAUUUUAGCUUAGUGCAAUUUUGCCACUGAACUGACUUAGGCUAUGCUAACCACAGUAUUGACCUUUUGGACAUUGUGGCUUGCAGCAUUACUAUUCUUAUAGGCCAUUAUUCUGCAAAACUAGCAGACAGGUUGUGGCUUGUUGAUAGAGCUAAAUCAAGAAACAGGAGCAAAAUAUUGCUAGAAACAAAUGCUUUUCCAAUCACCCGAAUGCACUGUCUCCUGCUGUAUAUGGCCAAUGUAUGGCACCAACCAGCAAUGUCCAACAAAAAAUGCUUUGGGCGUGUAUAGAUUGCUGCAUAUCACAAAACGGAAUCGAGGUUAUCGAAUUGAAAAACAGGCGUGUUCAAGUUAAAUUACACUAAAUUCCUUGACCUCUGUUGAAGACAAGAACAUCACCUCUUGGCUUGGAUUACAUCGAUUUCCUUUCAACCUUUAUAUCAUGGUACAAAACAUAAUUAAAAUCAGCAACAAAACUUAUUCCAGAUUCCUAAAGUACCAUCAUGAAUAAUAGGAACGAAAAGAAGGGUGUCUUUUACAAAUUGAAUGAUAAGGGAAGUCAAUGUAAUUUUACAAACUGAAUAUAGAGAAGUCCCAAUCCGCAUCAGUCUAGCUAUCAAAACUCAAGGAAAUGACAGUCAAAUGGAACUUGGCAUUGUUGCAGUGAAUGGAAACAAUCAAACGAUGGCUCAAUGGGCACUAAAGGAAUAUAGUUAAGGGAAUAGUCUGAUGGAUAAUGCAGUGGCUCUCAAACUUGCAAUGAUAAAGGCAAGAGAACAACAAUGGAGGAGGAUUGAAGUGGAAAUCCCACAACUGCAGCUGUUGAAGAUGAUAGAAGCCAACAAGGGCCAAAGACAUCAGACUCUUUUCUCACUUAAGAGGAUAUUCAUGACUUAAGCUCUAUGUUUGUGGAAUGCUCAUUUGUUUUGGCUAGAAGUGAAAGCAGUAUUAGAACAACUGAUGUGUGUAAUCAUGCAUUAAGCAUAUCUUUUCAUGAGGAAUGGUUAAAUCCUCAGUGUCUUUAGACACUUGUAUAGCUCCAAUUGAGCCUUUGCUCACUAAGUGUAUAGUUCAUACACAAAUCCAAUAAAAUCAUCUAUCAUUUCCUGGAAAAAAAAAAGAUGGGCAUUUAACCCUUUUAACAUGUAUACAGUCAUCAGCCUCAGAGUACACAUUAGACUACGGAGAUUUACACAUUAGCAAGCAAAAUACGCAUACAUCAAUGGUUGAGCAAUGCAGUAAGAUAUUGAAUCAUAAUCGAUUGUAUCCAGAGCUCAUGCUUUUCAACCCCCUCAUCCUCUCUUUCAUUGUCCUCUCCAGAAGAAUCAGAUUCACUAACACUUGGUAGCUCAGGUAGUAUUUUUGCUCCUUCGAUCAGCAAAGAAAGGCUCUCAGAAUAAGUAUCCACAAAGGAUGAAUCUUUAGUUCCCCAGAUUUCGAGAUGCUUAGAUUUUUGAGUUCUUGGAUCGUGUGAAACCAACUCUCCAUUUCUUUCUGUCAACAAUAUAUCACCAUCCUUCCCAAAGCUCAACACGAUCCCCAACCCUCCUUCACAGACCACAUUGUACAUAUUACUCCAAGACUUAAAAUUCCCAUACUCUUGCAUCAACCAAAUGGAACAACUUCCACUCCAAACACGCCUAUCGUAAUGAAGAACAGCAACUGAAUCCUUGCAAGCCAAUGUGCACAAAUCUACAGGAGACUCAUCAACCAAAGCAUCAGGCAACAGCAAUUCCUCAAAAACCUCGGUACUCAAAUCAAACAACAUGAUCAAAUUUUCCUUCCCAUUCUCCCUCUCCAUAUUCAUCCUAUAUGCAGUCCAAUGUACCUUCCCUCUCACAAAUGCUUGAGUCCAAAAGUACUCAACAACCCAAUUUUCAGGUACAUCAACAUCAAUCUCCCUCCAAUUCCCUACACUUAGUGCAAAAAUCUCAACUUUCGGAGGCAAGUUAUACCCAUUACUUCCCUGAACAUAGGCAAUUCUUACAACCUUAAAAUCAUUGUUUUUCACAUCAAAUCCAAAUCCAAGCACAAACAUAAAAGGCCCCAACUUAUCAAAAACAGCUUGGGGCGAAGGUAGAGUGAAUUUCCGUCUGAUCAGAGGGUUCCAAAACAUAAUAAGAUUUGUGUAUCCAAAUAGAUCAUCAGACAGACACAGCAAACCAUUGCUAAAACCAACAAUCCUGAAAUAAUAACGCGAUAAACCGCGAAGAGGGAAGCCUAUUUUAAUCCCAUUUUCCACAGCGAAUGCUUCAUUGUCAUAGUAUACUGUGUAAACUUCAGUCUUUUGAUCUUUAGAAUAGUGCCGAACUAGCAAUUUGUCAUCUGGUGUAGAGGGUUUUGUGAGGAAAGCUUGAUGGUUAUACAGAGAGAUAAAAUAAGCGCUAGAUAUUAAAGAAUUCCAUGAUUUUGAUACGCACCUCAAUCUUAGGAGAGAUUUUACAGGAACCCUUAUGAGGAUUUGGGUCAUAACCUCUUGAGGGAUGUAAUCUGACAUUUUUAAUUGGGCAUUUGUGAGUUAAAAGGGGGGAAUAAAGGGACUAAAAAUGACUGAUGAGUGAAGGCAAGACUUAUUGAGAAUGGAAUGAAAGAGUGCAUUUUCAGGCUUUUUAUGUGAUUUUGGGGAAUAGCCGAGUCAUGGCUGCCUUGCUUCUUCCUCGAUUAUGCAAUUUUCUUUUGAGAAAUAGACAGAUGAACAAGAGGAUUUCAGUUUGGGAUGAAGACAUCGAAGAAGGCAAGUGGAGCUGAGUCGGAGUUUCGUAGGCAAAGAGAUCGGCCUCUUGGCUUAGAUCAAGUGUGGAGACUGUUUUGUUAAUAUGUCCAGCGAUGAUUAUGUGAAUGUGAAGGCCUAAUUUGACAAGUACAGCAAAGUACAAAAUACCUCAUUAAUCGUAAUUAAUCAGUCCAGCCUUUAUAUUGUUGUUUCUAGAACAUUAUUAUCGUUUCUAGAAUUAAAUCUACAAUUGGGCAUAGGGGGUGCAUCAAUUAGAAAGUCUGAAUUCAGAAAAUUCGGUAAAUUGAAUUUGGUAAAUUUCAACCUAUUUCGUUUUUGAAUUCAAAAGUUCCAAAUUUAAUUUCUCUCGAAAUUCAAUUCGGAAUUCAUUAUUCUAUUUAAUUCAUAUUAAAAAAAUGAUUUGGAAUUUAUUGAAAAAAAAAACUAACCUAAAUGAGUCAGGUAUUACACUAUUAUUAUUAUAUAAUAUAAUGACUUACGUAUAUUAUAGCGACAUAGAUUAAUCAGUUUGAGGUAUUAUACUAUUAUUAUUAUAUAAUAUAAUGACUUAUAUAUAUAUAUAUAUAUUAUUGUAUAUACGAAAUUGAAAUUGAAUUAGGUAGUUGAAUUCUGAUUUCGAUUUGUGAGUUCGAAAUUGAAAUUUUCGCUUUUAAGAAGCAUGGUCUCAAAUUCGCCAUUUUCGAAUGCGAAAUCUCCACAUUCCUUUCUUUUUUCUGAAUUUUCGAUUUCAAAAUUCCAAAUUCAAAUUGAAUUAGAUCCAAAAAUUGAAAUUUUUUGGAUUUGCACACCCCUAAUUGGGCAGCAAAGGACAAUAAAAAGUCCAAGGAAUAUAAACAAGAAAAGGCACAUCAUUCUUCAAAUAUUUUUUAGUGCUAAAUCAUUCUAAAAGUAACACACGUUAUGAGAUAAGAUCAAAUUAUAGCAUAUGUUAGAGUAGUUAUAGUUGUCCAGCUUGACAAUAUAUCACUUUUGCCUGAUAAGACUCUUAAUGGAUUCUAUACAUUAUUUUUGGCCUUUUGUAGACUCUUAAUGAAUUUUCACGAUUUUGAUUGAUUAUUUCGCACAUAAUAAAGUUAGAAAACAAAAAUUAUACUGUAAUGUCAUAUUUCUCCUCUUUAAGUGGUCUUGAUAAGAGUCCUAAACUUCCCUCCUCACAUCCAACAAAAAAAAAAUUUUGAUAAUUAUAUUAGGGAGUUGUAAACUUUCGCCUUCCCAUCCAAAAAAAAAAAAAAAAAAAGACUUUUGAUAAUGUAUAUUAGGGGCGUAAGCGGGUUGGGUACCUCGCUAAUGCAACCUUUCUUUCCAUUUGUUUCAAUUAGAUCUUUUUUAUGUUUAUCUUUAAAAUCAAAAUCCAUUCCUUAAGCUAUUAAGUACUUGCCAAAAAUCCAUCCAAAAAAGUCUUCCUUUUUUUUUUUUUUUUUUUUUUUUAAUCUUUUCUUACCAUUUGUUUCACCCAUAAGCUAUUAAGUUAUUGUGUGCUGUCAAUAAAAGGAUUAUCAGGUCAGGACUUGUAUCAAUUUACAGCGCAAUUGGCAAACAAAUCCGUUGUCGUCCAGCGGUUAGGAUAUCUGGCUUUCACCCAGGAGACCCGGGUUCGAUUCCCGGCAACGGAAAAUCAAUUUUUCAUUUUUCCCGGACUGAGUUACCUCAAACAACUACAGAAAAAGCCCUGCCAUCGCUUGCUGCUGUUCCCAGAUUCUGCUUCCCCGUGCUCAGAUUGCCUUUCAACGCUUUUAAUUGCACAAUUAACUAUUAUCUGGUACAUUUUUAUGCGAUGAAAAACCUGUUCUUUUCCUUUCUGUUUAAAUUCAUUUAUUUUACUCAAUCAGCCUCUCUUACUGCUAUUCUUGUUUCUUGAUUCUCCAAUUUUAAUAUCUAUGUGUGUGUUAUCUAAUGAGUAAAGUUUGAGCUUCAAGAGAAAAAGGUUCUGUUACGGGGGAUUGGGAUGGCUUUUUUUUUUUAAUGGAUUUUUGGCCUUGUUGAGAAAUGCACAAGUUCUUAUCAAUUUGAUUAAUAGAAUCAAAUUUGGAACGUCUUUAGAUUGAAUGGCUGAAAUGCAUAAGAGUGACAUAAUAACUUACUGGUUAUGCAGGCUGAGAUUUUUGAAGGUGAAUUUGCAUUUUGCUGCAAUACAAAUGCAGAUAAUUCAAGUGGACAGUGUUUUGGCAAAAAAAGUAAUAAUAAAAAAAGUUGGGAGCUUUUGUACAGCCUCACCAAGUAUAUAAAAGAAAUUUCAGUUAGUUUAUAAAGUACAAAUCUUGUUGGUUAACUACAAAGAAUAAAAGGGGUUGGAUGAACUUGAAACUGGAUCUACUGUUAGCUCUUCACAGGAUGGAGAUUUGGUUGUACACGUUGGAAUGUUUAUUCAUUAGGUGGCGGCGGAGGCUUUUUUCCGUCUUUUGCCCUUCAGUGCCUUGGUUCUUAGAUUUAUUAUGAUAUUCCUGCAUUCUUGAUUGUACUGUGCUUGCUCAGCAGAAAAUGAUAUUGCAGAUAGCUUCAUUUUGAGCUGAGCUUUAUAAGUAACCACUAUGAUUUGAUCAAUCAUUUAUUAGACUAGAAAAAGUUCUAGCCUUUUAGUAACCUUAUGCUUUCGUAGUUUGGGAUUGGUUUCGAAUGAAUGCAAUGCGUUUAAGAUUUGCGGAUAUAGAUUUUAAGGCUAGUUGACUUUGUCAACAGAAUUAAUCAGACAUUUUUUGUGUUGACAUGGGAUGUGACCAUGAUAAUGUUACAUUCCAGCUAAGUUGCAUUAAUCAUCGUUGUUCUAGUGCAUAGAUCAUGCUAGAAAUGCUAAUGAAAUAUUAGUCCGUUUGCAAAGUGCAAAUUGAUAUCUUAAUCCUCAAGUAAACGAUCCUUGUCUCCUGCAUUUGCUCAAAUUGUCUAAUAUAAUGUGUGAAUGCAGAGGAAAGCUUUCAAUGGAGAGCUCUGAUGAUGGAAAGAAUGGUCCUCUGGAUGCCAAGGAGCAUUCUCUAACAUCUGAUGGCAAAAAAUCCAUAGACGAAGUUCUUAAUGGUCCAAAUGGCCUUUGCUCGUAGAACUUGCACAUGGAUAGGCACAUGUUUUAUGUAUUGUGUGACAUGUUACAAGCCAGAGGCCUCUUAUGUCACACAAUUAGAAUAAAGAUUGAGGAGCAGGCAGUGAUUGAUCAUGUUUAUAGUUGGGCACAGGAUAUGUACUCGAGCAGUUCAAGAGCUAUUUGGAUACUCAGGCGAAACCAUUAGCUGCCAUUUCAACAAUGUUCUAACGACAAUUAUGGCAAUUUCACGGGAUGUUUUUCCACCUCCUAGGCCUGAUGUUCCACCAGAAUUUGUGAAGAUCCUCAAUUUAUCCUCAUUUUCAGGUAACCUGAAAAUAAUACUCUGAUUUUUUGUAGUCUUUCUUAUUUGUCCUUGAAGUAUUUUUUGUCUUAAAAGUUACUGUUUAUCAAGUAGAAUUGUGUGGGAGCAGUUGACAGUAUAUAUUUGCCUGUGCAGUAGGAUUGGAUGAGCAAGUUCCUUUCUGGAACAAGAGCGGUUUUCUUUCACAAAAUGUACGGGCUGUAUGCUCCUUCAGUAUGAAAUUUCACUAUGUUCUAGCUGGUUGGGAAGGUUCAGCACCUGAUAUACAAGUUUUAGGUUCUGCUGUCACAAAAGGUAACAUAUUGCAAGUCCCCGAUGGUACAUCAUCUUUAUAGGAACUGAAACUGAGCUAGCGGAAACGGUUUCACGCACACUGAAUUACCAUUUGGUGAGAACGUUCUGGAUGACUCAGUAUUCUCCCUUGAGUUCUUCACUUCUGAGUUUUUUAUCACCUUCAAUCUUAACAACAGCAUGUUAAAAGUCCCAUCUAAUGUUUGUCUUUCAAAACUUCGUUCCUUGUAUAUCUCUGCUGUUGAGUUGAAGAAUGAUGCCUUUAUAACCUCUAAUAGCCGACAAGGAAUCAUCUUUAACUUGCCUGUCCUUGAAGAGCUUCGGUUUAAUUAUUGUACAUGAUGGAAUUUGAUGAUACUUCCAAAAGAUGCUCCUUUACUCAAAAGAUUCGAAAUGAUUGGCCCCCCUUAUAGAUCUGGAAAUGGUGCAAUGUAUGAAGGCGUUAAAGUAGAGAUUUGUGGAGGCAACCUUGCUGAUGUUAAAUGUUCAGUUUUUUUCUUUGAGGAGUGUUUUCUCCAACCGAUUGACUCUUGUUAAUGCUUGUUUCAAGUAUGAUGCUUCUAUUAUGCAUUAUGAUGAUCAUUGGAGGAGAAAGAUGGUGUUGUGAGCUUGUGCACUUUUAGGUGGAUUCUCUAUCACGGGAUGCCUUGAGCUAUCUGGUGACUUCCUCGUGGUACACAAGUUUCUUUCUACAAGUUAAUAUUGUUAAUAGUAGUAAUUUUGCAUUUACAACUGUUGUUUGUACACUUAGAUAAUGUCUGCUUAUUUUUUUUAUCCCCUCAUUUCCUGCUUCAGUCUUGUUAUGUUUUGGUUAUGAUUUGUUUUGCUAUUGUUCAAGACUUUGCUCUUCUUGCUUUUCCUUUAUUCAUUCGUCGUUUUGUCUGUUGCUACUGUCAAUGUGUUAAUUUGCUAGCUAGUAAUUACAAAAUUUGCUUACUGAAGAAGUUGUUCAAUUGUAUAUAUGACCUCAAUGUACUCAGCUACUAUAAGAAACUAAGGAAGGAAACAGCUAAUCUUCUUGGCCAGUAUGUAUUGGUAGCCCAUUAAUUUAAGACACGGUAUUGAGCAGGUAUGAAGGUGAAAACCCGAUAUUUCUCUUUGAUUGAGUGCACCCGGGACUUGAUAUUUAGUUGUUGAUGGAAACUAAGCGUUGUAAUCUAGAAUAAAAGGUACAUAACCAUCAAGUUUGAAGUAACUUGGGAUGCGUAUGCAGUCAAUAACAAUAGGUUGAUGGAGAGAUUUUUCAUGGCUUGUAAUAACUUGAAUUGUCUUGGCAAUUUUGGUUGUCUUCCUGCGCUGAAUUCUGAAUUAUCUUGCUGAACAUUGGCACAUUGCCCUCUUAUUGAAUCCAUCAAUUCUUCCCAAGUUGCUGUCCUAGGCGGAACCAUUAGGUCCUCUUCCAGUCUUUGAUAAGCUUAACUGCCUCAAAGUGUCAGCAGUGAGCGGUGCCAAGUGUGACAAGCCAUUGGUGAACUUGCUCAAAAGGGCACCAUAGCUGGAAUCUCUGAUCAUUUCUUCGGUAAGUAUUGAAGUUAUUUCUGAUCCCCCUAAAUUCACCAAAGGCUUUAGAAAUCAGUCUAUAUUGGGAUGUUUCUUGUCCAAAAAAAUGAUAAAAUUUUAGGAAAGCAGUCGAGUCAAAAUGUAAUUAACUACUGAUUACGUCAUUAAUCCACCUUGAUCUUGGAAAUUCUAAUAGACUAGUACCCGAGCUCCAUGGAACUUGUCAAUUGUAUACAAGCUCAGCCAGAUGAUUAUGUACCAGAAGUCAAUUGAAUCCAUUAAUCCAAGCUUGAGCUCCACUAAGCUAAUUCAUGAAAAGGCUGGAGUUGUCUCUUAAGUAUGCAAGCAUCAAGUCUAAUCAAGCUACGUUACUCAAAACUGCAGCUGCUUUGGAAAAUCAACUCCCAUACAAGAGUCUUCAUUCAAAACAAAAUGGUACCAAAAAAGAAAGAAAGAAAGGAUAAUGAAAGAAAGUGGAUUGGGAAGGGCAGUUCAAAGAAAGUGAAAACGAAGACAAAAAGGUUUCACCCAUCUCAGCAAGUGCUGCACAAACAUCAGCUCCCCAGCAGACAUUUACACAAAAGGAUCCUGCAAUGAAACAGGAUGGGGUCAAGGUCAUGGCAGUCCACAUUGCAAUUAUGAAGUAGAGACAAGAUAUCUAUCUAGACAUUUUUUCCCAAUUCACAGUAUUUAGAGAUAAAGCCCAGUUCCAAGCCAUCCCUUUAGAGUUGUCUCCUACAUGGUUAAACACCUGCAGAAGCCAAUACUACAAUGCCUUGGAUGCAUCAUUUUGCUGACCAGAUAGAAUGAGGUUCACUGAAUUCAUAAAACAGAUGCAUAAAUAUCAUUCAGGUGAAAAAUACAACAAAGUUUCCUUCAAAUUUCGCUAUAGUUAAAAUAACGUCUCCUCUCAAACUUCAGAUAAACCCUCCGUACAACUUUGACACCAGUCACCAAUUCAUUUGGCAUUCCUAAAUUACAACCAGGCAUAACCAAAAGGAGCAGGUCAUUUAAAUUAACGUCUACGAAGAACACAGUACACAUCAUUUUGGAUCCACGAUAGAGUCAGUCGACGUAGUUUUAGAAACUAACAGCAAAUCCUAAAAUAAAAACUCAGGAGAAGUAGUUCUAGUUUUGCUAAAUUUACCAUUGCUAAAUGGUCUGUGAAAAAAUCCUUUUCGGGUUCAUCAAAUGGUUAGUCAGGUCUUUCCCUUGAUAUCCAGCUGUUUAGCAGCCCUGGAUUGGAUGAUAAAGAAGUUGUGAAGCAUACAAAAAGGAAGUUGAUCGAGUUUGCAAGCAAGCAGAAAUUCCAAAAGACAUGAAUGCCCAAGGAUAGAUACAAAAAUCAGUCUAAAAUCAUGUAGAAGCUAUUCAAAUUCAAAUAUAUCAGCAGUUGAACAUUUACCUGCAUCAUUGUUGUUUGUUCAAGCAGAGCUUUCAGAAACUCAACCAUCAUGGACUGCUUCCAGAGCUCAUUGGCUUCAACUCUAUCAUCCUCUCCUUCAUUUUCAUCUCCAGAAGAAUCAGAUUCGGCCACAUUUGGCAGACCUUCCAGUACUUGUUCACCAUCAAUCAGCAAAGCUAGGCUCUCUGUAUACCUAUCCACAAAAAAUGAAUCUUUGGUACCCAGAAUUCCAAUGUACUUAAUUUCUUGAAUCCUUGGGUUUGGAUCAUAUGAAUACAAGUCUCCAUCUCUUGCUGUCAACAAUAUAGUACCAUCCUUCCUAAAACUCAAUAUCCUCCCCAGUCCUCCUUCAAAAUCUACUGUGUACAUUUUGCUCCAAGACUUUACAUCACCAUAUGUUUGCAUCAACCAAAUGGUACAGCAUCCAGUCUCAACAUGCUUAUCAUAAUGAAGAACAGCAAUUGAAUCUUUGCAAACAGAAGUACACAAAUUUAUGGGACACUCAACAACCAAAGCAUCAGGCAACAACAAUUCCUCAAACACCUCGUUACUCAAAUCAAAUGCCAUGAUCAAAUUCUCCGUCCUAUACUCCUCCACAUUCAACCUAUAAGCAACCCAAUGCACCUUUCCAUUAACAUAAGCCUGAGUCCAGAAGUGCUCAAUGAUCCAAUUUUGAGGCAAAUUAACUUCAAUCUCCCUCCAAUUACCUGCGCUUAGUGCGAAAACUUCAACUAUUGGAGGCAAGUUAUACCCACUGUCUGACUGAUCAUAAGCAAUUCUUACAACCUUAAAAUCAUUACUUUUCAAGUCAUAUCCAAAUCCAAGCACAAACAUAAAGGGCCCUAAGUUCUUGUAAAUAGCUCGGGGCAAAGGAAGAGUGAUUUUCCGCCUGAUCAAAGGGUUCCACAGCAUAAUAACAUUUGUGUAUCCAAAAAUGUCAUCAGACAAACACAAUAACCCAUUGGAGAAACCCACAAUCCUAAAAUAAAACUGAGCUAAACGGCGAAAAGGGAAGUCUAUUUUGACACCACUUGCCACAGUGAAAUCUUCAUUGUCGUGGUGUACAGAGUAAAGUUCAGUCCUUUGGGGUUUGGAAUAGUGCCUGACAAGCACUCUAUCAUCUGGGACGGCGGGUUCUGAGAGAAAAGCUUGACGGGUAUGCAGGGAAAUGAAAUCAGAGCUGGAGAUUAAAGAUUUCCAUGAUUUGGAUACGCACCUGAAUCUUAGGAGAGACUUUGCAGGUACCCUUGCGAGGAUACGGGUUACAACUUCUUCAGGCAUGUAAUCGGACAUUUUUUCAAGGCAUGUAGUCGAGCAAAAUGUUCUGAGUAGGAUAGUCGUAGUAGUGUGGAGUUUUCUAGUAAGAACCUGGGCAAUUAGAAAGGAACUGUAGAUAUCAUCGUCAAAUACACUCGCGACAAAUGCGCGGGUGAAUAAGGGUCAGAGAAAAUAAGAGCCUCUCCCCCAUGGCUCGUGGCUGAGUUGAGUUGGUUAUGUUUCAAGAAAACGGAAUGAUUUUUUUUCCCUUUUUGUUUUAAUUUUUCUUUUCAAGAUUAGUAAGUGAUUUAAGGAGGAUGCUUUCUUGGCUAGAUUUUAGUUAGGGCAGGAUCGUUUAAAAAAAAAAAGAGAUGAUAUUGGUAGUUCCAAAAAAAAAAAAUUUUCCAAGCGCCCCAUCCUUCAUUUUUGGUUAAUUAAAUGACAAAAAAAUUGUUUGUAAAUUGUCCAGUGUGCAUUUCUCGGUAACUCGUAUUAUUUUAUCUCUUUGAUUUUUUUUCAAAUUUUUUAUUUUAUCUCUUACAUCUGCCCUAAAUUGCUGUAGUAUUAAGAAUGGAGAAAAUUUUUUAUAACAAUGACUGAAUAAAUGUUGUUUGAGUAUGAAUUGUUUAGUAAUUCUUGAUUAAAGUACAAGCCUUCGUAGUUGAGAGCUGUCUGUAAUUUUUGACAUGUUCAUUUGUUAGGUGGAACUUUGCAAAUUUAACGAAAUUUAUAAUUAUUUUAUAUCUUUUUUUUUAAGUUUUAAGACUUUGUAAUUAAAAUUUUAUAGGUCUACACAAAAAAUAGACCAUUUACUAUGCUUUGGGGGUACUUUUUGCAUUUAAAUGUUAGAAAAUCUAGUUUAUGGCUCAAUUCGUUGUUGUCAAUAAUAAUGAACAAGGAUGGAACUGGAGAUUGCCUUAAAAAAAAAAUUUUUGGAGAGCCAAUAUCAUUGGACAUAUAUUAAAAAAAAAAAACAAAUUUACCAACCAUCUCUCCUUAGUCAACUUACCGAGAAAAUCAUAUGGUUAAUAAAAUCGUUGUAUUGCAGUGUUUUUGCAUCAUUAAUAAAAUCGUAUAUAGUUAAGCAACAGUUUGUAACUCUCAUUUGAUAAUAAGCCUAAUCAAAUCAAACACUUGAGUGAUUAAACUUGUUCAGUUGUUUAUUUAUUUACCGAGUUUGAAAUUGUGUUCAAAUUCGAUUUAUUUUUUUCCAUUGAGCCAGACUCAAGUGAUCUUUUAUUUGGUUGAGUUCGAGUAGUUUGAAUUUUUACAUGUAAAAUUUUAAAUUUUAUGCUAAUUAAACCAAACGAGUUGAAUUUAAAAUUUUACCGAACAUAAAAUGAAGUAUCAUUUAUGUUUGACUUGAUUCGUAUUCAAAUCAAAUGGAACGAGCUCUUAUGAGUUGAACCAGAUUUGACUUUAGAGUAUCUAGUUACUUGUCUUUCAGCCCUAAGAACAUUGCUGCUGUUGUCAAAUGUCUAGUUGAAGUGAAGUAGAUAAGACAGUGAAGUACUUGUCCUGCUGACGCUUUUGAAAUCAAAUCUCUUCCGAAUACUCUCUUUUCACUUCCAACAUUUGGAUAUGCAUCUGCACACAAAUUUUUUUUUUUUUUUUGGGAGCAUAUGAACAGAAGUUGAAUCUAUCUAAAGCAAUCUCUGCAAUGAUUUUAACCAGGCAGGGCCUAAUCUUGAUUGACAUUCAGCAUUUGCAGAAGUUUAUACACAGGUAAAGAAAGAAAGAUGCUACUUGUUAUUCUCUUCUACGUUUAAUCCUUCAAGUCUUUUCAUGCUUUGAUCUUCUAGCUAUCAAUCAUGACAUCCUUAUUAGAUUGAAUCAUGCAAAGAACCUGUAACAAUGUGUAUAUGUACAUCUUCAAUUCUCAAUAGAACCAGAUUUAGAGUAUUAGACCUCUGUAGUUGACUGCAAAUCAAGACUGCAGUCCUGUGGAAACUAUUAGGACCCAAAUGCUUGAAGUAUCUUUAGACAAAACCAAGGAAACACUCCAAUACAGCCGAAUGACCGUGAUCAAGUGAAUAAAAGAGAUGUCAUAGUUGUUGUCCUUCCCUUAUUGAAAAGAUGUAAAAUUUGCCAAAAGACAGUUUAAUAUUGAACUCAAGAAGGAAGACCUAUAAAUGAGUAGAGUGGAUUGAUGGACCAUUUUAGCUUAGUGCAAUUUUGCCACUGAACUGACUUAGGCUAUGCUAACCACAGUAUUGACCUUUUGGACAUUGUGGCUUGCAGCAUUACUAUUCUUAUAGGCCAUUAUUCUGCAAAACUAGCAGACAGGUUGUGGCUUGUUGAUAGAGCUAAAUCAAGAAACAGGAGCAAAAUAUUGCUAGAAACAAAUGCUUUUCCAAUCACCCGAAUGCACUGUCUCCUGCUGUAUAUGGCCAAUGUAUGGCACCAACCAGCAAUGUCCAACAAAAAAUGCUUUGGGCGUGUAUAGAUUGCUGCAUAUCACAAAACGGAAUCGAGGUUAUCGAAUUGAAAAACAGGCGUGUUCAAGUUAAAUUACACUAAAUUCCUUGACCUCUGUUGAAGACAAGAACAUCACCUCUUGGCUUGGAUUACAUCGAUUUCCUUUCAACCUUUAUAUCAUGGUACAAAACAUAAUUAAAAUCAGCAACAAAACUUAUUCCAGAUUCCUAAAGUACCAUCAUGAAUAAUAGGAACGAAAAGAAGGGUGUCUUUUACAAAUUGAAUGAUAAGGGAAGUCAAUGUAAUUUUACAAACUGAAUAUAGAGAAGUCCCAAUCCGCAUCAGUCUAGCUAUCAAAACUCAAGGAAAUGACAGUCAAAUGGAACUUGGCAUUGUUGCAGUGAAUGGAAACAAUCAAACGAUGGCUCAAUGGGCACUAAAGGAAUAUAGUUAAGGGAAUAGUCUGAUGGAUAAUGCAGUGGCUCUCAAACUUGCAAUGAUAAAGGCAAGAGAACAACAAUGGAGGAGGAUUGAAGUGGAAAUCCCACAACUGCAGCUGUUGAAGAUGAUAGAAGCCAACAAGGGCCAAAGACAUCAGACUCUUUUCUCACUUAAGAGGAUAUUCAUGACUUAAGCUCUAUGUUUGUGGAAUGCUCAUUUGUUUUGGCUAGAAGUGAAAGCAGUAUUAGAACAACUGAUGUGUGUAAUCAUGCAUUAAGCAUAUCUUUUCAUGAGGAAUGGUUAAAUCCUCAGUGUCUUUAGACACUUGUAUAGCUCCAAUUGAGCCUUUGCUCACUAAGUGUAUAGUUCAUACACAAAUCCAAUAAAAUCAUCUAUCAUUUCCUGGAAAAAAAAAAGAUGGGCAUUUAACCCUUUUAACAUGUAUACAGUCAUCAGCCUCAGAGUACACAUUAGACUACGGAGAUUUACACAUUAGCAAGCAAAAUACGCAUACAUCAAUGGUUGAGCAAUGCAGUAAGAUAUUGAAUCAUAAUCGAUUGUAUCCAGAGCUCAUGCUUUUCAACCCCCUCAUCCUCUCUUUCAUUGUCCUCUCCAGAAGAAUCAGAUUCACUAACACUUGGUAGCUCAGGUAGUAUUUUUGCUCCUUCGAUCAGCAAAGAAAGGCUCUCAGAAUAAGUAUCCACAAAGGAUGAAUCUUUAGUUCCCCAGAUUUCGAGAUGCUUAGAUUUUUGAGUUCUUGGAUCGUGUGAAACCAACUCUCCAUUUCUUUCUGUCAACAAUAUAUCACCAUCCUUCCCAAAGCUCAACACGAUCCCCAACCCUCCUUCACAGACCACAUUGUACAUAUUACUCCAAGACUUAAAAUUCCCAUACUCUUGCAUCAACCAAAUGGAACAACUUCCACUCCAAACACGCCUAUCGUAAUGAAGAACAGCAACUGAAUCCUUGCAAGCCAAUGUGCACAAAUCUACAGGAGACUCAUCAACCAAAGCAUCAGGCAACAGCAAUUCCUCAAAAACCUCGGUACUCAAAUCAAACAACAUGAUCAAAUUUUCCUUCCCAUUCUCCCUCUCCAUAUUCAUCCUAUAUGCAGUCCAAUGUACCUUCCCUCUCACAAAUGCUUGAGUCCAAAAGUACUCAACAACCCAAUUCUCAGGUACAUCAACAUCAAUCUCCCUCCAAUUCCCUACACUUAGUGCAAAAAUCUCAACUUUCGGAGGCAAGUUAUACCCAUUACUUCCCUGAACAUAGGCAAUUCUUACAACCUUAAAAUCAUUGUUUUUCACAUCAAAUCCAAAUCCAAGCACAAACAUAAAAGGCCCCAACUUAUCAAAAACAGCUUGGGGCGAAGGUAGAGUGAAUUUCCGUCUGAUCAGAGGGUUCCAAAACAUAAUAAGAUUUGUGUAUCCAAAUAGAUCAUCAGACAGACACAGCAAACCAUUGCUAAAACCAACAACCCUGAAAUAAUAACGCGAUAAACCGCGAAAGGGGAAGCCUAUUUUAAUCCCAUUUUCCACAGCGAAUGCUUCAUUGUCAUAGUGUACUGUGUAAACUUCAGUCUUUUGAUCUUUAGAAUAGUGCCGAACUAGCAAUUUGUCAUCUGGGGUAGAGGGUUUUGUGAGGAAAGCUUGAUGGUUAUACAGAGAGAUAAAAUAAGCGCUAGAUAUUAAAGAAUUCCAUGAUUUUGAUACGCACCUCAAUCUUAGGAGAGAUUUUACAGGAACCCUUAUGAGGAUUUGGGUCAUAACCUCUUGAGGGAUGUAAUCUGACAUUUUUAAUUGGGCAUUUGUGAGUGAAAAGGGGGGAAUAAAGGGACUAAAAAUGACUGAUGAGUGAAGGCAAGACUUAUUGAGAAUGGAAUGAAAGAGUGCAUUUUCAGGCCUUUUAUGUGAUUUUGGGGAAUAGCCGAGUCAUGGCUACCUUGCUUCUUCCUCGAUUAUGCAAUUUUCUUUUGAGAAAUAGACAGAUGAACAAGAGGAUUUCAGUUUGGGAUGAAGACAUCGAAGAAGGCAAGUGGAGCUGAGUCGGAGUUUCGUAGGCAAAGAGAUCGGCCUUUUGGCUUAGAUCAAGUGUGGAGAGUGUUUUGUUAAUGUGUCCAGCGAUGAUUAUGUGAAUGUGAAGGCCUAAUUUGAUAAGUACAGCAAAGUACAAAAUACCUCAUUAAUCGUAAUUAAUCAGUCCAGCCUUUAUUGUUGUUUCUAGGACAUAUUAUUAUCGUUUCUAGAAUUAAAUCUACAAUGGGGCAUAGGGGGGUGCAUCAAUUAGAAAGUCUGAAUUCAGAAAAUUCGGUAAAUUGAAUUUGGUAAAUUUCAGCCUAUUUCGUUUUUUGAAUUCAAAAGUUUCAAAUUUAAUUUCGCUCUAAAUUCAAUUCGGAAUUCGAUAUUCUACUGAAUUCAUAUUAAAAAUAAUGAUUUGGAAUUUAUUGAAAAAAAAAUAACCUAAAUGAGUCAGGUGAUUACACUAUUAUUAUUAUUAUAUAAUAUAAUGACUUGCGUAUAUUAUAGCGACAUAGAUUAAUCAGUUUGAGGUAUUAUACUAUUAUUAUUAUAUAAUAUAAUGACAUAUAUAUAUAUAUUAUUGUAUAUACGAAAUUGAAAUUGAAUCAGGUAAUUGAAUUCCGAUUUCGAUUUGUGAAUUCGAAUUUGAAAGAAGCAUGGUCUCGAAUUCGAACCAAUUUCACUGCUUUCAAAUACGAAAUCUCCACAUUCCUUUCUCUUUUUCGAAUUUUCGAUUUCAAAUUUCCAAAUUCAAAUUGAAUUAGACCCAAAAAUUGGAAUUUUUUUGGAUUUGCACGCCCCUAAUUGGGCAGCAAAGGACAAUAAAAAGUCCAAGGAAUAUAAACAAGAAAAGGCACAUCAUUCUUCAAAUAAUUUUUAGUGCUAAUUAAUCAUUCUUAAAGUAAUAUAUGUUAUGAGAUAAGAUCAAAUUAUAGCAUGUGUUAGAGUAGUUAUAGUUGUCCAGCUUGACAAUAUAUCACAUUUGCCUGAUAAGACUCUCUUAAUGGAUUCUAUACAUUAUUUUUGGCCUUUUGUAGACCUGGAAUUUUCGCGAUUUUGAUUGAUUAUUUCGCACAUAAUAAAGUUAGAAAACAAAAAAAUUAUACUGUAAUGUCAUAUUUCUCCUCUUUAAGUGGUCUUGAUAAGAGUCCUAAACUUCCCUCCUCACAUCCAACCAAAAAAAAAAAAAAGACUUUUGAUAAUGCAUAUUAGGGGUGUAAGCGGGUUGGAUAUCUCGCUAAUGCAACCUUUCUUUCCAUUUGUUUCAAUGAGAUCUUUUUCUUGUUUUUCUUUAAAAUCAAAAUCCAUUCCUUAAGCUAUUAAGUACUUGCCAAAAAUCCAUCCAAAAAAGUCUUCUUUUUUUUUUAAAAAAAAAUCUUUUCUUACCAUUUGUUUCACCCAUAAGCUAUUAAGUUAUUGUGUGCAGUCAAUAAACGGAUUAUCAGUUCAGGAGUUGUAUCAUUUUACAGAGCAAUUAGCAAACAAUUCCGUUGUCGUCCAGCGGUUAGGAUAUCUGGCUUUCACCCAGGAGACCCGGGUUCGAUUCCCGGCAACGGAAAAUGAAUUUUUCAUUUUUCCCGGACUGAGUUACCUCAAACAACUACAGAAAAAGCCCUGCCAUCGCUUGCUGCUGUUCCCAGAUUCUGCCAGAUUGCCUUUUAACGCUUUUAAUUGCACAAUUAACUAUUAUCUGGUACAUUUUUAUGCGAUGAAAAACCUGUUCUUUUCCUUUCUGUUUAAAUUCAUUUAUUUUACUCAAUCAGCCUCUCUUACUGCUAUUCUUGUUUCUUGAUUCUCCAAUUUUAAUAUCUAUGUGUGUGUUAUCUAAUGAGUAAAGUUUGAGCUUCAAGAGAAAAAGGCUCUGUUACGGGGGAUUGGGAUCGCUUUUUUUUUUUUUUUUUUUUAAUGGAUUUUUGGCCUUGUUGAGAAAUGCACAAGUUCUUAUCAAUUUGAUUAAUAGAAUCAAAUUUGGAACGUCUUUAGAUUGAAUGGCUGAAAUGCAUAAGAGUGACAUAAUAACUUACUGGUUAUGCAGGCUGAGAUUUUUGAAGGUGAAUUUGCAUUUUGCUGCAAUACAAAUGCAGAUAAUUCAAGUGGACAGUGUUUUGGCAAAAAAAGUAAUAAUAAAAAAAGUUGGGAGCUUUUGUACAGCCUCACCAAGUAUAUAAAAGAAAUUUCAGUUAGUUUAUAAAGUACAAAUCUUGUUGGUUAACUACAAAGAAUAAAAGGGGUUGGAUGAACUUGAAACUGGAUCUACUGUUAGCUCUUCACAGGAUGGAGAUUUGGUUGUACACGUUGGAAUGUUUAUUCAUUAGGUGGCGGCGGAGGCUUUUUUCCGUCUUUUGCCCUUCAGUGCCUUGGUUCUUAGAUUUAUUAUGAUAUUCCUGCAUUCUUGAUUGUACUGUGCUUGCUCAGCAGAAAAUGAUAUUGCAGAUAGCUUCAUUUUGAGCUGAGCUUUAUAAGUAACCACUAUGAUUUGAUCAAUCAUUUAUUAGACUAGAAAAAGUUCUAGCCUUUUAGUAACCUUAUGCUUUCGUAGUUUGGGAUUGGUUUCGAAUGAAUGCAAUGCGUUUAAGAUUUGCGGAUAUAGAUUUUAAGGCUAGUUGACUUUGUCAACAGAAUUAAUCAGACAUUUUUUGUGUUGACAUGGGAUGUGACCAUGAUAAUGUUACAUUCCAGCUAAGUUGCAUUAAUCAUCGUUGUUCUAGUGCAUAGAUCAUGCUAGAAAUGCUAAUGAAAUAUUAGUCCGUUUGCAAAGUGCAAAUUGAUAUCUUAAUCCUCAAGUAAACGAUCCUUGUCUCCUGCAUUUGCUCAAAUUGUCUAAUAUAAUGUGUGAAUGCAGAGGAAAGCUUUCAAUGGAGAGCUCUGAUGAUGGAAAGAAUGGUCCUCUGGAUGCCAAGGAGCAUUCUCUAACAUCUGAUGGCAAAAAAUCCAUAGACGAAGUUCUUAAUGGUCCAAAUGGCCUUUGCUCGCAGAACUUGCACAUGGAUAGGCACAUGUUUUAUGUAUUGUGUGACAUGUUACAAGCCAGAGGCCUCUUAUGUCACACAAUUAGAAUAAAGAUUGAGGAGCAGGCAGUGAUUGAUCAUGUUUAUAGUUGGGCACAGGAUCUGUACUCGAGCAGUUCAAGAGCUAUUUGGAUACUCUGGCGAAACCAUUAGCUGCCAUUUCAACAAUGUUCUAAUGACAAUUAUGGCAAUUUCAUGGGAUGUUUUUCCACCUCCUAGGCCUGAUGUUCCACCAGAAUUUGUGAAGAUCCUCAAUUUAUCCUCAUUUUCAGGUAACCUGAAAAUAAUACUCUGAUUUUUUGUAGUCUUUCUUAUUUGUCCUUGAAGUAUUUUUUGUCUUAAAAGUUACUGUUUAUCAAGUAGAAUUGCGUGGGAGCAGUUGACUGUAUAUUUUUGCCUGUGCAGUAGGAUUGGAUGAGCAAGUUCCUUUCUGGAACAAGAGUGGUUUUCUUUCACAAAAUGUACGGGCUGUAUGCUCCUUCAGUAUGAAAUUUCACUAUGUUCUAGCUGGUUGGGAAGGUUCAGCACCUGAUGUACAAAUUUUAGGUUCUGCUGUCACAAAAGGUAACAUAUUGCAAGUCCCCGAUGGUACAUCAUCUUUAUAGGAACUGAAACUGAGCUAGCGGAAACGGUUUCACGCAUACUGAAUUACCAUUUGGUGAGAACGUUCUGGAUGACUCAGUAUUCUCCCAUGAGUUCUUCACUUCUGAGUUUUUGAUCACCUUCAAUCUUAACAACAGCAUAUUAAAAGUCCCAUCUAAUGUUUGUCUUUCAAAGCUUUGUUCCUUGUAUCUCUCUGCUGUUGAGUUGAAGAAUGAUGCCUUUAUAACCUCUAAUAGCCGACAAGGAAUCAUCUUUACCUUGCCUGUCCUUGAAGAGCUUCGGUUUAAUUAUUGUACAUGGUGGAAUUUGAUGAUUCUUAAAAUAGAUGCUCCUUUACUCAAAAGAUUUGAAAUGAUUGGUUCCCCUUAUAGAUCUGGAAAUGGUGCAAUAUAUGAAGACGUCAAAAUAGAGAUUUGUGGAGGCAACCUUGCUGAUGUUAAAUGUUGGGGUUUUUUCUUUGAGGGAGUGUUUUCUCCAACUGAUUGACUCUUGUUAAUGCUUGUUUCAAAUAUGAUAUUUCUAUUAUGCAUUAUGAUGAUCAUUGGAGGAGAAAGAUGGUGUUGUGAGCUUGUGCACUUUUAGGUGGAUUCUCUGCUAUCACGGGAUGCCUUGAGCUAUCGUGGUACACAAGUUUCUUUCUACAAGUUACUAUUGUUAAUAGUAGUAAUUUUGCAUUCACAACUGUUGUCUGUACACUUAGAUAAUGUCUGCUUAGAUGCGUUGGUUAUGAUUUGUUUUGCUAUUGUUCAAGACUUUGCUGUUCUUGCUUUUCCUUUAUUCAUUCGUCAUUUUGUCUGUUGCUACUGUCAAUGUGUUAAUUUGCAAGCUAGUAAUUACAAAAUUUGCUUACUGAAGAAGUUGUUCAAUUGUAUAUAUGACCUCAAUGUACUCAGCUACUAUAAGAAACUAAGGAAGGAAACAGCUAAUCUUCUUGGCCAGUAUGUAUUGGUAGCCCAUUAAUUUAAGACACGGUAUUGAGCAGGUAUGAAGGUGAAAACCCGAUAUUUCUCUUUGAUUGAGUGCACCUGGGACUUGAUAUUUAGUUGUUGAUGGAAACUAAGCGUUGUAAUCUUGAAUGAAAGGUACAUAACCAUCAAGUUUGAAGUAACUUGGGAUGUGUCUGCAGUCAAUAACAAUAGGUUGAUGGAGAGAUUUUGUAAUAACUGAAUUGUCUUGGCAAUUUUGGUUGUCUUCCUGUGCUGAAUUCUGAAUUAUCUUGCUGAACUUUAGCACAUUGCCCUCUUAUUGAAUCCAUCAAUUCUUCCCAAGUUGCUGUCCUAGGUGGAACCAUUAGGUCCUCUUCCAGUCUUGGAUAAGCUUAACUGCCUCAAAGUGUCAGCAGUGAGAGGUGCCAAGUGCGACAAGCCAUUGGUGAACUUGCUCAAAAGGGCACCAUAUCUGGAAUCUCUGAUCAUUUCUUAGGCAAGUAUUGAAGUUAUUUCUGAUCCCCCUAAAUUCACCAAAGGCUUUAGAAAUCAGUCAAUAUUUACUCCCUCCCAUCCUUCUUUGUGCCUGUGCCUCAUCGUUCUUGUUCUCUUCUCCUCCCCUUCUCUCUUUUGACUGCACUGCAUACUGGGCCAUCAUUUCUAAUAUAGUACUUGUCUUUGAUAUGUCCUUCUAGUUCCUGAUUUGUAGCGGCCAUCUGGGGUUGGCGGUGACUAUGAGGGAAUUGAUUUUGAGCCAGCAAAUUUUAUGAUUCACCUUAAGGUCAUCAAGUUUGAUAACAAGUUUCAGAGGCAAGGAAGUUCAGAUUCAGUCAGUGAAGUGUUUGCUCGAACAUGGCUCAGUACUUGGAAAAGCCUGUGUUAUGUCUGUUUUCUGUUCAUUUGUAUAACAAUGCAUAUAUGAAGGAUGUAUAUGUUUGCAAUCAAAUUGAAACUAUUAUUUCAAAAUUAAAAGUUAGAUACAAAGAAAUUGAAACUAGCAUGCGAAAUCUUGUUGAUCAACAGUAAAUAGGGUGGAUUAUUAAACUUGUACUUGUUUCUGGAACAGAGUACUAACCAUUGAACUUCUUAUUUCAAUUUCCUGUAGCUUUGUGCUGUGCUGUAUAAUGAAUUAUAUCAUACAUGAUUGGCAGCCCGGUUCAAGAUGAUAGGAGAAGGAAUAGCGCAUGAAAAGGUUUGGGAAAUUGAGAUUAAAAAUUCGGAGUGGACGUUUCCUUCCCCACUUAGAAGUGAUCAGUCCCAAACCCAUAUGAAUAUAACUUCUGCCCAGAUCAUUGUUCUGGUUUUUUCUUGUACAAAGGUUGUGCUGCAUCUUAAAGAGAGACUAAAAUGUUAAAAUUAUUCCAAAAUGAAACUGAAGAAAAACUCUGAUUAUACUUCAAGAGCAUGUGAGCACCAAGAAUCAGAUCCCUACUCCACCUUUUUUCCGGAUAAGAAUGUCAAACAUCCUUGUUUGGCUUAUGGUUUUCCGUAGAAAAUUUUUUUACGUUUUUUUGUAAAAAUAUUUUUUAGUUAUCUUUUUUUUUUUAAUUUUAUGUACAUCAAAUCGCUAUAGUAUAUAUUUUUUUUAAUAAAAACUUAUAAGAAUAGCAAUCCAAACCCUGAUAUCAUAAAUGUAUUCUGUACGCGAUCGUUUUGAUUGGACAUGCAACAAAUAGAACUGUUGGUCUAAAAAUAACUGAAGUCUGAAGAUAUACAGACAGAUGUUGCAUCUUAGUUAACAUAUUUUCAUCAGUAGACAAGCAAAAUUUAGGAGCUUCAGAAUAAACAGUGAGCAGAUGUUUCUGAAGCUUUCACGCCAACUACAAUGCCCCAAGUUGCACCGAGGCUCACAGAAAACAAAAUUUGCAUAUGUUGUCCUGUCCAAUGCUGGAAUAAUCAUGUCAGUAGAUGCCAUCCACAAAAAAAAAAUGCGCACCAUGAGAAGAUCAAAAGAGUAAGGAUUGUAUGCAUCUGAUCCUGCAGAACCCAGAGAUCAGAAGCUUGCCAGUUUCACAUUCUUCUUUGCCUUUUCAGAGUUGAGUAACUGGUCAUGGCUUCCAUUUUGCUCUGAGAACUACUGCCACUACUAGCCCUCGGAAUCGAUGGUUUAGCUUAACUCGACACUUUCACCACACUCGCAAAAGUUUUUUUUUUUUUUUUAAAUCUGAAUCUGGACUAUUUAUCCAUGAGAGGCAAAGAAAGAAUAUGAGAAAAAGACCAAAAUCUUUAAAAUUUUUUAAAAUUUGGAUUGAAGUCUGUUGCUUAGAAAUCUAGUUGCAGUCACAAAUCAUAGAAGUCUUUUUAAUGCUCACAAUUUCAAAAUAAAAAAUAAGUGUUUUUCCCUCUGUUUUUCUUUGUCAGUUUUUGAAGUUGGUUUUUUUCCUUAGAAGACAAGAUAUAGUAUUUCAAAAUUUUUUAGAACAAUUAAGAAAACGAAGAUAUUUAGUGAAAAAUAAUCCAUGUUCCCCUACCAAAAUGGAAAACAAAGGAUCCAAAAGGUCCUAAAAACUGAGAACCUUUUUUUUCUUUUCUUUUGCAACUGUUUACUGGCUAAGCUGUACGGAACUCUUAUAAAUUUCUCAGCUCCACCCUCUCCCACCACCUUUGGCUCCCCCGCCACCGCUUCUCCGGUCUCCCCUUGCCCUCUCGUUCAAUCCCAGAAGCCCAAAAAGCUAGGUCUCAAGUGCCUUUUUUUUUUUUUUAAACAACAGGUUGCAAAAGGAUGUCAAAUCAUCUCCCAGAGGAAGUGUGGGCUGGCAUCUUCACAAGACUCCCAGUCAAGACCCUCCUCCAAAUCAGGUCUGUUUGCAAACUUUUCAGUUCCAUUAUUUCCAACCCUACAUUCAUUUCAGCUCACAUCAAGAAAACCAUCAAUGAAUCCCACUCUCACACCCUUUUCCUGAGAUACUUGAUUGAGAAAGAAAGGCAGCAAGAACAUUACUUGCUAUUUACUGACAGUAGUGAUCAUAAAAAUUCUAUCUUUGAUGAGCACAAUUGCAGGAAAUUAGACUUCCCAUUUAAAACUCGAUCAAAAUGUCACUUUAGGAUUGUGGAUUCUUGCAAUGGUCUAAUAUGCUUGAAUGAUGACAAUGAUUUUGAUACUUCUGGGAUUAUUCUCUGGAACCCUUCAAUUAAAAGAUUCCUGAAUUUGCCGAACCCCCGGGUUACUAGUAGGAAUUAUGGUUCUUAUAUGUAUGUUCUUGGAUUUGGAUAUGAUGAAAAGAAUGAUGAUUAUAAGGUGGUUAGAGUGGCUUAUAAAAAGGGGCGAAGUGGGCGAGAUUUGAUACCUCCUGAGGUUGAGUUGUAUAGCUUGAAUUCACGGUCGUGGAGGAGUUUUAAUGCUGGUGCUCCUGCUUAUGGGAUAUUCGGGUAUACUUGGUCGCAGGCAUUUGUGAAUGGAGCUGUGCAUUGGGUUGGUUAUGAUCCGUGUGUUGUGAAAGGGAAUGAGAGUUGUGGGCUGAUUGUGGCGUUUGAUUUGAGUGAUGAGGUGUUUCGGGAGGUUAUGCUUCCUAGUUGUCUGGAGCAGCAUGCAUGGGAUGUGUAUAUUACGGUUUUUUGGGGUAAGCUUGCAGUGUUACAUUAUGACUAUGGUGCCCAUAAGAACUUUUGCUCUGUGUGGGUAAUGGAAGAGUAUGGAUUGGCUGAUUCUUGGAAAAAACUGUAUACUGUUGACCUAAGGGGAGGAUUGCGGAAUUUGAUUGGUUUUCUGAGAAAUGAUGAAGUCAUUGGAGUAACCAUUCGGGGUAAGCUGCUUUCAUAUGACCUCAUUACCUCAAGGAUUAAUAACCUUAGACUUCGCGGUGCAGUAGGUGGGUUUCAUGUGGGCAGUUAUAUGGAGAGUUUGGUUUUGAUUGAAGCUGAAAGUGCAGCUUUAGCACGAGAAUCAAUUACCUCUGGAAAUGAACAAGAAGAAGAACAGGCUACUGACUUGCAUGCAGUCAAGAACAGGCAAGAUUAUGCUUAUCGUUAAAAUAUUUGGGUUCUCAAACACAUUGGUGAUUGAAAUUUUGCUUUCUCACUUGCAUUGGUAGUUUCUGGACUACAUUGGUUUCUCACUUACAUUGGUAGUUUCUAUACUGCAUUACUCUCUGUGAGUGCAUUUUAGGGACUUGAGGAAUUUGAACUUCAUGUUGUAACUCUUUCAUGUUGAGGCUUACUGUCUGUUAUCUUUAAUUAAGUCAGGAUAGGGCAUUCCUUUUAUGCUUUUAUGUAAGGACCAUUAGAACAAUGUUAAUAUUUCAAUGGAAGCUAUGUAUCUUUUGUCUUAAGAAGGCCAUUGUUCUAUUUAUGUUAGAAAAAAGCCUAAUUAAUGGUGAUGGACCAUGGUCUGUAGUUCCUUCCAUAACUGAUUUUUCUUUACUUUCUUUAGUUCUUCAGAGCUACUAGUUUGGAAUGUGGCAUUCUAAUGUAAGUCCUUUCUUGAUACAGGAAUGAUGAGUUUGAUGAUCAGGAAAAACUUGAAAGUUUUCUUUCUCUUAGAAUAUCUGAACAGAAUUAUUCAGCAUAUUUAUGCGGUGGCUUUAGCGAGCAAGAAUUAUCUGCAAAGAAUUCUGAAGAAUGGGUGAAGGAAUUGGUUCCUGAGGCUAACUGUGAUGGAUGGGAGAAUGAUUGGUGAAGAAUGGUGGAACAAUGUUGGAAGUGCAAUAUUUUUAUUUUAUUUUAUUUUGGUAUCAAAGAGAGAGGGUUAUGAAUAACUGCUUCAAAAUGGGGCUCUGAAAAACAAAUCGAGAAACACUUCUAAAUGUUCUCACAGAAGAUCUCAUAAUUGGUUGUUGGGUUCAUGCUAAACCUAAGCAGUUUGCCUUUGAUUGCUGGUUGCCGAUUGCCUGUAAAUUUGGCGAUGGUAGCAGGUAAGUUUGUAUCUUUAACCUUCAGGUUUCUUAUAAACAUAAUCUGCUUUGUUUGAUCAGCCAAACGACUUCAUGGUUUUACUUUCUCAUGAUUUAAUUAUAACCAGUAUCUCUUUCCAUCAGACCCUGUACUUGCUUUUCACUUAUCUUGAUAUGAGACUCCAGACCUAUUAAAUUGAUUGUGAAAACAUUUAUCGACUCCAUUGAGCGGGUCCUAUCAUUGUCUCUUUUUACUUAUCUCUCCAUUUGGAGACAUCCUGUUGAACUUGUUUUGAUUCAGUUUUACUCUGCUUCUCUUCUCUUCAACCCUCAGAAAGCACUUAACAAGGGGGGAAACGUAAUGGUUUCUUUUCUUUUCUGUUCUUUAUUACCCACAUGUUUCCUACCAAACUAGCCCUUAAUGCAAAACAAACAAGAAGAGAUGACCAGAACAUGGACAUAGAUUAAUGUUGAACGUCACCUUAAGUAUGAAAACAUUACCAUAGAUGACACGAUAUUAUGCCAUAUAUGCUGUGCACAAAAAAAUGCUGCCAGACAACCUCCAAACUUGAAAAUGAGCAUUCCAAAUAGUAAACAAGGACAUGCAGAGAAUCCUGAAUAGCUUGGUAUACUGUAUUUAAUUGCUUUUGAAUUGAUACUUUCAGAGCUAGUUAAAUAUACUUUGUGAGAAAGCUGGAAGCUGAAUGUUGAUAAUCUGAAUUGUCACAGGUUAUCCAAAAAUGCAUGUGGUAAAAUUAUAAUAUCUGCUUAACCCCCUUUAGUUUUGCACAAAUAUCCACUUUACCUUCCUAUGGUUAUGUUUAUAUAGGAAGGUGUUGUACAUAUAUCCACAUAAUCCCACUAUAAUUUUAUACGAAGUAGUGAGACCUUUGUUCUAUUUAGUACUUGAGUAAGAGCAAUACUGGAAUCUCAACUACUGACGGAACAGAGGCUGCUUUUCAUCAAGUUUCCGAUUUACAUAAAAUUACAGUGAGGUUAAGUAGAAAUUUUAAAAUGUUAGGGGACAUAUGGUAAUGAGUGAAGCCAUAAGGGGUUAAUAGUAAUUUAUCCUUGAUUUAGAACAUAAUACUUAUUACGGUUCUGCGUAUAAACUGAUAUCUAAAGGGUUAAAAUUAGUAUAUGGAGCCUUUGGAAGUAGCAUUGUAGGCGUAGGCAUCAUUCUACCCAAUAAAAGGGAGAAACUUUGGGUAAUGAAGGCAAAAAUAGUCUUUUCAAAUGUGUUGAUAACAGACACAGUGGAACUAGCAACAGUUGGGGUAAGACUGAAUUGGCACAGAGCUUAGACUUUGACAUAUAUGGAAUUUGAAAGUACUGAGACAGUUGUACCAGUGCCAGGGAUCAUUAGCAAGAAGAAGGAUUUAUCAGCAUUGGUCCAUCUGGUGCAACACGUUAAACCUAUCAUGGUUGAUCACAGAGUUCGAGGAUUUGAGUAUCAGAAACAGAAAUCAGCCUCCAAACUUACCAACUAGAGCAGCUUUUAUAUCUCAAUAUUAACAAAUCUUUGGUGACUGAUAUUUUUCCUGCUGUAUCUCAUGACACAUUGGCACAAUUGGUCAACAAUAUACCUUCUUCAGUACAAGUUGCACGUGCUUUGUUUAAUGGAGAAUAGGGUUCAGCUUGUAAAAAUGUGAUGUAGGGACUAAAAACAACCUUCAACAUCAAGGAUAACCGUGAGUCAUGAGAAACGGACUUUUUCUUUUUUAAGAUCAGGAAAUAUUAGAUGGUUUGCUAUUUGGAAGCUAGUGGUCUUUCACAUACAAAAUAGUUCUUUUAAAAACUAAUACAGAAAAGUAUUCGCAUCGAUGAAGUUUACAUUGUCAUUUGUCAAUGACUCAAUAAUAGAUUCUGGAGAAUGGUGAUGCAGAAUUACCUAACCACAAGUAACAGGUAAAGGUAUCACUGUUCAGAGUACUCCCACAAUGUCUCACACAUGUACAGUUAUUGAAACACGGAUACACAGACAAAUAUAAAGAUCAAUGAAGGAUCACCACUGGAAUCAUAUUCUUGAUCCUUACAUCCACUGAAGAAGAAGAAAUGAUGGAUUACUUUUUGUUACAAUUGGCAUAAGGAUUGAUAAUGAAGUAUGGAUUGGGAAAAAAGGAUAGAGCAAUUGCAUAUCGUUACUCAUAAAAAUCAAUCAAGUGUGGGUUGACAAGUUCUUCAAGCUAUAAUUUGCGUAGAAUCAAGUGAGCACCAUGCUGAGGUUGAAUUGUAACUAUGGUGUAAGGAGCAUGAGUAUAAGAUGGAGAAAGUUCAAAGGAGAAGCGCUGGAGAAUCAUUGCCAUAGCCAAUUUUGCUUCAAUCAUAGCAAAGGUUUGUCCAAUGCAUAUUCGAGGUCCCCAACCAAAGGGGAAGAAUGAAGCUUGGCCUUUUGUCGCAUUUGAUACUCCUUCAUGAAAUCUGUCUGGAUUGAACUUUUCUGAAUCGUCACCCCAUAUUUCGACAUCAUAAUGCAGUAAGAGUACUGGCAACAUGAGCCGCACCCCAGAUGGGAAAGUAUAUUUUCCUACUUUAGUUUCCUCCUGAACUGUUCGAUCAAUUACAGGCAGUGGAGUGUAUAGUCUUAAAACUUCGUUCAAGAUCAUUGUCAACUGCAAUAAAGAUUAUAAGGGAAACCAUAUGUCAUCAUAAACUAUGCAGAAAGGAAGAUUACUGAAAUUUACUAUGUAGUGAUGGUCUAAAGCAUAAGAGAGCUGUGUUACUGUAAAAGACUGAAAAAUGUAUAUGGAACAGAAUAAGCUGAAUGUUAAUGUUCUUUUCCGCAAUCAAGAGUUUCAUUUGAAGACACGCACUCUUCUAAGUUCUAACAGGUAGGUAACUUCAAACAGAUCAUGCCAAUGGUAACAUAUGGAAGGAACUCACAAGUUUGAGGUGAUUAAGGCCAUUGAAAUUUGGCUCAUCUCUCCCGAAAACUUGCAAAACCUCUUCCCUAGCCCGGGAUUGCCACUCCUGAUGCCUGCUCAGUAAAACCAAUGUCCAUACAAGCAAUGAUGAGGUUGUCUCCUGCCCGGCAAAAUAGAAUAGUUUGCACUCUUCAAUGACAUCAUUGAUGCUCAAACCAAAACUUUUAUCCCCCUUUUGUUCAAUCUCUUUAAGAUUAGACUCCAAUAGUAUGCUCAGUAAGUCGUUAUCACUUGAUUCCCCUGCUUUCAUUGCUUCUAAUCUUUCAUCAAUAACUUCUCUUACUGCAGCUCCAACUUUUUUAUGAAGUUCCUUUAUCCUUCUGUUCCUCUUAGUUGGCAAAAACCUAUAGAUAAGAAGCGAAACUGACUGAAUCAACUUUGAAAUCAGGAAUGUCAAAAUAUUCAAUCUGGAAUGAUACUCAAACUCCCACAAGUGGUGUGCUUUUCAUGUCCAUACAACAUGAAGAUGCAUUGAGAAAUCUAGUUUUACCUUGAUCCUGGAAAAUAGAAUGAUUUUACAGCAGUCAUAACCUGCUCUGCCUGUUCUUUUUGAAGCUUAAAGAUCUUUCUUCCUUCCUCAUAAUUACCACCAAAUGCUGUACGAGAAAUUGCAUCGCUGGUUAAAGUCUGCAGGUGUGGCCAAACAUCCAAUUCACAGGUUCCUUCUGGUGAAACACUUUCCUCCCAUUUGCUCAACAUUUCGGUGGCACAUAAAUGAAAAGCUGGUAGCAUCAGCUAUUCAUAGGAAUGAAUGAUAAGCCUAGUUAGUGCUAGAUUUCGAAAGAAAUAAUUUCUCAGGUUAGUAGUUGUUGGUUUACGAUGUCAGCAUUGGAUAUCUACUUUACAGAUGAAAUUUGAUUUACAUUCUUCUUGCGGAUAAAAUUGCAUCAGGAAAUAAGAGAAGUAUAUUGUAAAUUGUAGGAGAUCAUUCAAUAUUUAAGCAUAAGAUCAGUUAUCGAAAAUAUAAGAUCAUCUCCAAUGAAUCAACACAGAUGACUUUGCAGUUGAUAGAGAAAUGUUAAGUAAAACCUUGAGCUUCUCUAGAUGGAAAGCAGGAUUGAUUAUCUUUCGAUGUUUUGCCCAUAUCUUGCCCUCAGAUGCUACUAGACCUUGUAUCAGAUAUUUGCCAAGCGGGUGAAAGUGAGGCUUCUGGAAGAGAUUAUACUUCACCAUGAUCUCCCUUAUAGAUUCAGAGUCUAGGAUGAUGACUGCAGGAUAUGGACCAAGCCAUAUGAAGGAAUUGCUACCUGCAAUCGACAUGCUAAGCAAAUUAAACCAACGAAGUCGACACAUAAAAUAUAUCCACCAGCAGAAUUUCUAAAAACAGGAAACCGACGAAAAAAAUGCAAGGCAUGGUGUCGCAAAAAAAAUGCAAUCAUUUCUGAUCUUACAUCACAAUAUCAUGAAGUCUCUGCAAUAAGAAUUCAGCAGAUUAUACCAUAUUUCUUGAUGGUUGUGGUGACCAUCGGUAUAACUCGGGGUACAAGAUCAUCAGAAAGAUUGAUUGGCUUGGAAUAAGCUUCUUCAAUCAUCGAAACCAUUUCUUUAAAAUCUCCAUAGACUGGUGUGUAUGAAUUCCCGGAAAGACCCUGUGCUCUAAGGCACUUCUCUAGCUUCUUCGGCCUCAACCAUAAAGAGUUCAGGGCUCUCCAUGCACAAACCAACAGGGCAAUUAAACAUGGUGAAAUUGCUAGCAUAAAAUUCUCCAUAAUUUUACAGUUGUUUCAUGGCUGGUUAGAGUCUGAGAGAUAGCCCUUUGAAUUGUACUACUAUUCAAGGUUGUCAUGUGAAGAGGGGAUUAAUCUAGCUUUUCAGCAUUUGAGCGUGCACGGUUUCUAGAAAUGACCCGGAUAUCGACAUUAUCAUUGUGAAAAUUCAAUCUUGCCGCUAUCAUCUUUGGAGUUACUAUUGAUUUAGAAUUCAACAGUCUGAUUGAGAUUAUGUUGACAAAGGAAUGUGUUGGGUACCCAAUAGACUGGAUCCAAUGUCCCAUCAAUCAAGAAUCUGGUCAAUUUUGCAAUCUUUAUAUUUCGUCAUCUAGGCUAAUGAAUACUAGGUCUUCCAUCAAUUCCGAUUCUUGAUAUAAUUGUCAGUUUAAUGCAUACUAAAGUAUCCGGGCGAAACACACAAUGACACUCUGCAUAAUCAUUCUCUAAUUUAAAAAAUAAUACAUAACCUCCUCAUAUUUUAGACCAAAAUGUCAAAGUGAUAAAAUUUGCAUUCCAUAAUUGCGCCAACUAAAAUGUCAAAUGUAUUCCUAUGUAAAGUUAGAAAUUAUUUAUUAAUUAUAGCAUAUUCUGUUUGUAUUUGAAAAACCAUAAGGGGUUCUGUGGUGAAGUCCUAAAUCACAAGGGAAUUAUAUGGUAAAAUACAAAAUCAUAAGCAGUUAAUGUAGUAUGCAUACUAUGUUUAAAUAUUUCGGUUACUUUAGACAUUUUAAUUUUGAAACAAUGAUAAUCUCGAUAUUUUUGUAGGUUCCGUAAUAGAGGAUCAUUUUCGUCACUUGACACUUUAAUUCAAAUAAAUUAUGUGAAAAAUCGCUAAAUCAUAAGAGUGUAAAGUGUAUUUUACCCUAAAGGAUUUCAAUAUUCUUAUCAUUAUUUUUUAAAUACGUAGAAUAAAGCUGUACGAAAUGUCCUACAUCGAAAUAUAAAUAUAAACUCUGGCCCAUUGGAUUACUAAUAACUUUACAUUAAUCAUUUUGCGCCCAUGAUUUUGCUCAAAAAGUUAUUGAGCCAAAAAAAAAAAAAAACAUAUAUAUAAGAUAGACGCAAAAUUUUCUUUUUUUUUUUUUUCCUUUUUCUCUUCCAAACUAAAUAUUACGUAUAACUUCAGCAUCAAUUUACAAUGUAUUGCAACUGCAAAAGUAUCACUUUGUGCCUUCUUGCACACAUAAAACAGAAAUCUUUUUUUUUUUCUCUCCAAACCAAAGUAGGCAUAAGGUUGGACAGCCUAGCAGCAAGGAAUGGAUAACAAAAUCACAUUUCUCACUCAAAAAAAGAGCAAAACAGAACCAAGGAAAAGCAAAUGGAAACUACUUCAGCUGACUAUAAUUUGUGCAAUUCCAAAAGAGCACCAUGCUGAGGUUGAAGUGUAAAUACUGUGUAAGGAGCAUGAACAUAGGAUGGUGAAAGUUGAAAGGAGAAGUGUUGUAGAAUCAUUGACAGCGCCAAUUUUGCUUCUAACAUAGCAAAAUUUUGUCCGAGACAUAUUCUAGGCCCCCAGCCAAAAGGGAAAAAUGGAGCUUGGCUUUGGCCAUUUGCUGCCUUUGACACUCCUUCACUAAAUCUUUCUGGCUUGAAUUCCUUUACAUCAUCCCCCCAUAUUUCGCGGUCAUGAUGCAGCAAGAUCACUGGUAACCACAGCAUCACCCCGGCUGGCAAAGACAAUUUUCCCACUUUAGUUUCUUGGUGGACUCUUCUAUUCAGUGCAACUGCUGGAGGAUAUAGCCUUAGAACUUCAUUCAAGAUCAUAGUCACCUGCAAGAAUCUCGUGUGAGCUGUAUGCAGUUGGAUUAUAGGUAAUUGCAACAGAACAAAUUACAUUUUUUAAUACCUUUUCAGGUGUUCAAUUUCUGUCGGAGCUAAUAUGAGGAAGACACUUACUAUUUUCAGGUGAUUAAGCCCUUCAAAGUGUGGUUUGUUUCUCCCAAAGACUUGCGAAACCUCGUAUCUAGCUUUCGACUGCCAUUCUCGGUGUCUACCUAGCAACACCAAUGUCCAUACAAGCAAAGUAGAAGAGCUCUCUUGUCCAGCAAAAUAGAAGAGUUUGCACUCAUCAAUCACAUCUUGCAUGGUCAUACCAAAGCUCUUGUCUCCAUGUAGAUCAAUUUCUUUAAAAUUGGAUUCUAGCAUAAUGCCUAACAAGUCAUCGUUACUGGUUUCCCCUGCUUUUAAUGCCUUUACCCUUUUGUUAAUGAUAUCUCUGAUUUUAGCUUGAAUUUCUUUUUCAAUAUCCUUCAUUCUUUUGUUCCUUCUAGUUGGCAAAAACCUGAAGACAACAAUGAGAAAUCAAGAAACUGAGUUACUCAGACAUAGGAAAUCAAAUAUGUGAGUUAAAAACUUAUCCAUUGUGUAGCUUUAUCUUAUCAAGCUUUUCUUAGUCAUGAAAAUGAAAGUGUAUCCUAGAAUACUAUGCGUGCUGAGUUUAUACUUUCCUAGAAACUUGGCAGAAAAAGAUUAACUUUAACUUUACCUCAAUCCUGGGAAAUAUACUGAUCGCGUGGCCCUGACAGCAUACUGUGCCUGUUCCAUUUGGAGUUCAAAUAUCCUUCUCCCUUCUUCGUAAUUGCUACCAAAUGCUGUACGAGAAAUCGAAUCAGCACCUAAAGUUUGAAGGUAAGGCCAAACAUCCAAUUCGCAUGAUCCUUCUGGUGAAACUCUUUCCUCCCAUUUACUCAACAUCUCGCUGGCACUUGAGUAAAAUGGUGGCAGCAUAUGCUAUUCAUAGCCAUGGUGAAAACAAAAUUUAUUAGCACUUCUAAUAGACCUUAAGAAUGAUUCAGAUUGUAGCUUAAUUAUUUGCCAUCACUAGAUUGAAAAAUUUCAAACUGAAGUUCUUUAAGGUAGAGAAAAUAGAAUUCAAAUUUGUAAACGAUACCUUCAGCUUCUGUAAAUGGAAAGCAGAACUUAUGAUUUUUCGGUCUUUGGCCCAUUUAUCACCCUCCGAGAAAAUGACACCUUGUGCCAACAAUUUGACAAUUGGAUGAGGACGAGGCUUCUUAAAGAUAUAGUUCUUCAGCAAGAUUUCCCUCAUAAGUACAGGGUCUAGGAUGACCACUGAGGGAUUCUGCCCCAACCAUACAAAGGAAUUCCUACCUGCAUUUGGAUUCUAAACUGAUAAGUUCACUUUUAAACAGAAAUACUUGUGUAUACGGAAAGGAGAAUGUUUAGACAGUUUCAAUCUUCAUAUGCGUACAGUAGUAUGUGGUAAAAGGAAAAUCAGCUAUCAAUAUAUAUAUGGCUAUCAUUGCAGAGACAGUACAGUUUAGACGUGAACUUUGCUAAUCAGUUGCUUAGGAAAACUAAUAUGAUGAAAUGAGUGACCAGGGAUCAACACCAUACCGUAUUUCUUGAUGAUUUCAAUGAAGAAAGGUAUGACUCGUGGCACGAUGUCAUCAGAAAGGUUGAUAGGCUUGGAGUUAGCUUCUUUCAGCAUCACUGCAAUGUCUUUGAAGUCUCCACACACUAGUCUAUAAGAAUUUCCAUUAAGGCCUAGGUUUCUUAGGCGCUUCUCUAGCUUUUUGGGCCUCAGCCACAUGCAGUUCAGCACUCUCCAUGCAAAAACUGCAAGUGCAACAGCGCAGGAAACUCCUAUGGAAUAAUACAUACGUUCAUAUGAUUUCAUCGCCAUUUCCUAAUGAUCUCUCAACCUUUAUAGCUCCAUAUACGAACAUAUUGAAAUGAGGGAUCCAUUAUUAUAAUCAUUAAAAAAAUCCUUUUAGGCAGGAUGAUGGAGCAGAAGUGACCUUUUAUUGUUAAUUUAUCUCUUGAUGUUGGCCUCAUGGUGUGCAGUGAAGAUUUUGUUGAUGAUUAGACAAUAAUUGACGGCCAACUAGCCAGCAGCUUCAUGCGUAACAACGACAGGAGAAGCCCGUGCUUCCACUCCCUCGUUUUUUCAUAUUUUGAUGUAGAUAUUGCAAUCUCAUGCCUUACUUUAUUUGCAUGCCUUGAUAUUAGAGAAGCAAUGAGGUAUAAGCAGUUUGAUGAGGACAAAGACAUCCUCAAUGAUUUCUGCCAAUACCAAAUCAGUGGAUUGAUCUGGAAUCCAUUGAUGAUGAUAGCACCUUUUGUUUUUAGGAUGAUGUGGAUAAGUAUAAUGUCAUAGUAGAAUUUUUCAUAACCACCGUCAAGCAGCCAUCAUGUAACUAGCAUCUUUAACGUAUGAAAAAGUUAGAAUUUUUUUCUACUAACUUUUUUCAGUUUUUUUUGCUAUUUAAAACAGGAUAAAUUACCUUUUACUUUUUUGUGAUUUGAUACUUUACCACAUAACCCUCUAUAAUUUAAAACCUAUACAUAACCCCUUCCCUAAUUUGGGUUAAAGUAUCAUUAUUAACUUAAAAGUAACGGUCAAUAUUAUAAGGUCAAAGUCAAACUAAUAAAUAGACAAAUACACGCUUUUACUAUAUAUAUUGUUCUUUUUUCCUCUUCUUUCUUUUUUUCUUUUUUCUUUGAGAAGAGAAGAGAUGAUUUUAAAAAACUAUACUUUGGCUUACUAAAUCUUAAUAAAUCUAAAAUUUCCUCAAAUACAAAAAAGAAGAAAGGGAAAUAAAAAUAGAUAAACAAGAAAUAAAUAAUACUGUUAAAGAUUUGCAAUCACUAAAGAUUUGGUUUAAAAACUUACAUUGAUAUUUACAAUCAUUAAAGAUUUGAUAUUUUGUAAUUCUUAUUAUGUAUUUUUAUUUUCCUUUCUUCUUUUUUUUUUGGUAUUUGAAAAAAAAAAGAGGUAAUCAAAGGGUGAAUUUGUUAAUUUAUUAGUUUGAUUUUGAAUUUUUUAAUGUUGACCAUUAGUUUUAAAGGGAAAAUUAGCCUUGACACUUUAAUUCAAACUAUAAGGGAUUUAUGUACAAGUUUUUAACCCUUGAGGAGUUAUGUGACAAAUCACUAAACCAUAAGAAGGUAAAAGGUAAUCUAACCUUAAAAUAUUAAGAAAACAGCACAACCGGUAAUAAAAAAAUGCUUUCCAAAUAUAAAUGAUCAUUUAUUCACCAAAUAAACAAGCAGAAAGACAACAAAUAUAGUAAAUUUUAAUUCUGCCCGCCACUGCUAAAAAAGCAUCAGCAUUUCAAGCAAAUGACAAGAUUCAGAAGCUGAAGAUCCAAAUUUUCUUAUGGUACAUGAACUUAAGUUCUAUUGAUAUAUCUUCUGCAACAAGAACCUUCAUGUUCACCAUCCUACAAUUUGUGUAUGACUAAAUGAGCACCAUGCUGAGGUUGGAGUGUGGCUAUCGCGUGAGGAGCAUGAAUAUAAGAUGGGGAAAGUUCAAAGGAGAAGUUUCGAAGAAUCAUUGCCAUCACCAAUUUUGCUUCUACCAUGGCAAAGUUUUGUCCAAUACAUAUUCGAGGUCCCCAACCGAAUGGGAAAAAUGAAACCUGGCCCUUUGUUGCAUUUGACACUCCUUCACUAAAUCUCUCUGGUUUGAACUCUUUUGCAUCAUUACCCCAUAUUUCACAGUCAUGAUUCAACAGCAUUAAUUGCAGAUUGAGUAGCACCCCAGCAGGCAAGGAAAAUUUUCCUACUUUAGUUUCUUCAUGAAGCCUUCUAGCAAGCACAACCACUGGUGGAUACAAUCUUAGAACCUCAUUCAAGAUCAUUGUCACCUGUGGUGUUGUACAAGGAAUAGAUGAAGAAUAGUACAGCUCAAGAUAUCUUAAAGCAAGCAAAAUGAAACAAGGUGGUUACAUUGCAACAGUCCAAAAGGAGAGAAAAUUGAGACGCAAAGUACUGUUAGUGUUGAAUGAAGUUUACAGGAGUAACCUAAUGAUGUAAUGCUACUCAGAAUUUGUAAAAUGGUGUGUUCAGUGAAGAGCCUAAUGGUGCAAUUUAUGUGACAGGGCGUUCUUGACCAUGUACCUUUUUUCAGCUCACUUUUCUAACACCAUGAAAAAAAAAAAACCAAUGUUAAGGGAUCUGCAACUCUCCAGAACAUUAGUUUGGAUAGAAAGUCACCAUUGAUUGAGAAUCUAUUGGCAUGAUUUUACCUGUCUUGAAUUGUAACCAGACCAGAAUAUAUUGUGCCACAUUUAUAUAUGAGAAAAGGGAUAUCUUAAAUAUAGACAAUGCAAGCACAGGAGGAUCAGUAACCUAUGUUGCAAAUCAAAACUGAAAAAACAGACAUUUAUUUCCCCCUAAAUUUCCAACUUUGAACUUGAUUCUGAAUGCCUUACAUUUUGUGUUUAAUGAAGUACGCUAUGGACUGGUUCUAAAUUUAUCAUUACUCAUCUGUAAAGCUAUUCACACUUGAACCAAGUGUUCCAGUGGCAGGACAGAUACUUGACAAGAUCUAAUGAACAAUACAAAGUUCACAAACUUUAGGAACUUGCACUUUAUUAAAACAAUGUACAGAAUACACUUACAGUUUUGAGGCGACUGAGGCGAUCAAAAUCUAUCUCCUCUCUUCCAAACGCUUGCAAAACCUCUUCCCUAGCAAGUGACUGCCAGUCUUGAUGCUUACUCAGUAAAAUUAAGGCCCAUACCAGCAAGGUUGAAGUGGUGUCUUGCCCACCAAAAUAGAAUAGUUUGCACUCUUCAAUUAUAUCUUUGAUGCUCAUACCAAAAUCUUUGCUGCCAUACUGAUCAAUCUCCUUAAAGUUAGAUUCCAACAGUAUGCCCAAUAAGUCGUCCCUUCUUCCUUCCCCUGCUUUCAUUGCUUUCACUUUCCUAUCAAUUAUGUCCCUUAUUGUUGCUUGAACUACUUUUUCAAUCUCCUUCAUUCUUCUGUUUCUCUUCGUUGGCAAAAACCUAUAGAUGAAGAGAUUACCGAGCAAGAAACUCAGGAUGUAAGAUAUCAAAGCUAAGAUGGUUCUUUAAGUUCAGCAGUAGCAAGCACUCCAUGUCCAUGCAGAACGAGGGAAUAUGUUUUUUAAACACUGGGGGAAAAGAUUGAAACCAGGAGCAUACCUCAUUCCAGGGAUAUAUAAUGACCUUUCAGCUGUCACAACAUGGUCUACCUGUUCUUGUUGAAGUUCUAAAAUUUUCCUUCCUUCUUCAUAAUUACUACCAAAUGCUGUGCGAGAAAUCACAUCACCAGUUAAGGUUUGAAGAUAAGGCCAAACAUCCAGCUCACAAGAUCCUUCUGGCGAAAGUUUUUCCUCCCAAUUCCUCAACAUCUCACUGGCACUCGAAUGAAAAGCCGGCAGCAUAAGCUACUCAUGGCAACAAUAAAAGCAAGCCAAUUAGUAAAAGGUGUACAAGCAAAAGUAACUUGGCUCCUUGUUAAUCAUUACAUUCACAGGAUUGAAACUCAAAAUAAAAAAAUUUAAAAAAAAAAAACUCAAGAAACGCUUUGCCAGUACAAAGUUCUUUCAAGCGUAAAAAUCGAGAACUAACUUUCCUUCAAGGCAAAUAAAACAGAAUCAAAUAAAACCUUGAUUUUCUCUAAAUUGAAAGCAGGAUUAAUUAUUUUCCGAUCUUUAGCCCAUUUAUCUCCCUCAGAGUCUAGUAGCCCUUUCGCCAGCAAUUUUCCAAGUGGAUUGGAAUGUUGCUUUGGGAAGAGAUUAUGCUUAAGGAAGAUCUCCCUGAGAAGUUCAGGGUCCCGGAUGAUAACUGAAGGUUUAGGCCCAAGCCACAGAAAAGAAUUGCUACCUGCAAAUUCAAUACAGAUGAAAUCUUCUUAAAAACAAGAAUCAGAAUUUUCAAGAAGAGGAUUUAAAUCCCACGUACCAUCUACAAACCGAUGGCAUGCAAGGUCUUUGCUAAUUGAAGGCCACAACAACAAAUAGGAAAUUGCGAAGGGCAUUAAUGUAGGACAUGUGCAACAGGAAACUCAGCUCUGAUCACAUGACUAGAAGCCUAUAACUGAGUUCUGAUCCUUUUUAAUAAACCGACUUUUUAUUCGACAACACUUUGAUUAUGAUACGAGUAAGAAGACUUGUGUAGAGCGUACCAUAUUUGUCGAUGGUUUUGACGUGGAAAGGUAUGACUCUGGGCACGAUAUCAUCAGAGAGACUGAUUGGCUUGGAUUUGGCUUCCCCAAGCAUCAUUGCCAACUCUUUCAAGUCCCCAAAGAUUGGUCUGUAGGAAUUUCCAUUAAGACCUUGUGCUUUGAGGCAUUUUUCCAGCCUUCUUGGCUUCAACCACAUCGAAUUCAAGACUCCCCAUGCACAGACUAGCAAAGCUACAACACAAGAAACUGAAAUAAAGCUCAACAUAUUCUCUAGUAGUUUCUCCCAAUCUCAAGUGACCACUCACUCCACGCUACUAGAACUUAUCUUCCUGUGUGAAGGAGGAAAUGAAUGUGCAUUUUAUUGUGGCAGGUACAGGAUUUUGGGGAGAGCGGGCAUCUGAAUAGUGUAACAUUUUUUGAACGUUUUGUUACAUUAUAUAAAUUUUUUAUAUAUUUUUAUAAUGGAAGCGUGACAUUUUGUUACUAUUUAUGUGAAUCUCAUGAAUAAUAAUCAUGUCUCUAUUGUUAAAUUUUACAAGUAAUUUACGUAAAAUUAUACACUUUAUUUAAAAAAUAUUAUAUCAUUUAGAAUAAUUGUUUCGCCAGUGCCUUGGUCCGACAGAUUGCUACUGUGUAGACAUUGUAUGAUUCAGCAUGGAGCGAGCGCAGAUUCCAUGACCAAUUCCGGGUCCAAUAGAACCAGGCCCUACCGCCAAUCCAGGAGCAAUAAGGGGAGCGGCAGAAAUCAGUGGAUUCAUGAUAAAGUUCCUCGUACCAAAAAAUGAUACAACCAACAAAUAAAUUAUGAUUUAAUCAUUCCGUUACUAGGAUUCAAAGCUGCUAGUUUGUGAUUCCACUUUUAGGAUUAAGAUAAUUCCAUUUAGCCCCUCAAAAUCAUGGUUCUUCGUCCAAUUGAGCCCUUGAAAGAUCACUUGAUGUUCAAACUGGCAAUUCAGUACUUAGUAGCUUUUAAUCUUGUGAGCUUUUCCCUAACCAGCCCCACAAAUUUUGCUAUACAAGUAAAACUUACAUUCAAGUUCCAUUUCAAAACAACAUUAAUGGACCCCUCAAAUACUUUAAUACCACUCGUUUCUUACGCAUAGAAGUGACAUUUUGCAAGAUCUUCUGAGACAUUAGGAUUUGUUCUGCAAGAGUUGCUUCAACCAAUGAUAAAAGUCUCAAUUGUCGGCAAAGUCUACAUUCAAAUCAACAGCGCCAGAUGGGCUGUUGGGCACUCUAUUUUCCUUUAACGUGUGACAUCAAUGAUGUAAAUUGGUUUUUGCUCUUAAUUUUGCUGAAUUCUGUAUUUAUAUUUUGUGGGUUAAAUCAAUGCUCCUUUCAUAAAAUUCUAUUUCUUUUCCUCAUUUUUAACGAGCAUGAUUUGACCCACGAUGUCAUUUUUCCAUCCCAGCAAUCGUCAUCAAUGGCGAUAGAAAACGAGAAAUGAAUAUCAGAAACCUCUCUUAAUAGCAAUUAACACCCCUAAGAUUUUGAAAAAAAUCACUUACCUCCCUUUAAUGACUAUAUUAACCCUCACUUUAGACAUAACACACAUAUCACAUAUAUGAAGUUCAAAUAAUUAAAGCAAAAGAAAUGAAAGUCACGUUCUUUUCUUCCUCCUUUCUCCAACAUUUUAUGUUGUCCAUUUUUUGGAUGAUUAUGCAAUUUUUUUUUUUUUUUUUGUAAAUUGUCGUAAACUGAAUUUUGUUUAUCCUUUUUUUUUAGUGAUCGUGCUAGACUACGAUAUAAUUUCUUUAGUUAUUUUGAUUUGGUUUUUAUAGCGAUUUUGUACAAUUUAAAUGCUUGGGGUCAUGGAUUGAGAAAAUGUUCGAAAAAAAUAGAAUUCAUAAAAGAUUGUCUUUGAUCAUAUAAAAUUGAAUCAGUGCUAAUGUUUUUCUUUAUAAGUAUCUUUUUUUUUUUUUCAAAUUUAUAUUUUUAAGGGCUAUGGCAUUCUGAUAUGGUGAUUGUACUUAAAAUUGUUUUUCAGGUGUUGAUUUUUAAUGGAGUAAACAAAGCGGUUUAAGAGUAUCUACAUUUACUAAGAGGCGCAAAAAGGUCGUUUAUAAUUUUUAAAAAUUUUAUGAUAUAAGAAGCAAAAGUAAGAAAGAUAGGUGAUUAUUUUUAAAAUUCUAAAGAUACUAAGAUUGCGUUAGAUAAAACUAAAAUCUAAAAACUAAAAUCUGAAUUCAUUAAGUUUUUGAAUUGUUAAAUAUUAAAUUUGAUACAUUUGAGUGUAUAUCACAUUAAGUGAUAAGUAAAUAGUUUAUCACUUAUUUUUAGAAACACAUUUAACUAGAAAAUUCAGUGCCACUCUAUAAUUCAGAUGUUGAAUUUUUUGUUAUCAAACGCAUGUGAAACAUGUUAAGAUUUAAAUUCAUUAAGUUUAAGUGCUAAAUUAGGUUAUCAAAUAAUGCCUAAGUCAUAUUGAGAAAAACCUCAGGGGAGAGGUUUCCGAUAUUAUCCCUAACUUCAUCGAUAAUUUGAACUCUAGAUAUUCUUGUCUUGUGAUUUGAAUCUCUUAAAAUUAAGUAUUGAGUUGAAUUAUUAAACAUAACCUAACUCAUAUUAAGAAGAACCUCAAGAGAGGUUAUUGGUAUUAUCCCUAGCUUCAUAAGUCUGAACUCUGGAUAUUCUUGUCCCGUGAUUUCUCAAGAGUACAUAAGGCUCAAAGAUGAUAACGUGUCUCCAAAGACCAAUAUCAAGACACAACAUUAUAUGCACAUGCACCUCAGAAUUGAGCAACUUCUUCCAAUCAGCUUAGACGUACAUGGCUAAAGUCAAAAAAUAUUUUUUCCAAAGACUUUUUGUCACACCUCAGACAACGAUUCUCGCGUCUCCCGUUCUACGUCAAAAAAGGUAAAGAUGACUAAAAUGAUGGAUAAACCUGCUCCAUGAGGAUCCCACCUCGGAAAAGUGUAAGGCAAAGACUUGACUUGCCUAGUCUACUAAAUCUAGUGAUUCAAAAUUUUUAUUUUUAUUUUUAUUAUGUAUUUAAUACUUGAAUUGAAUUGAUGAGAUUGUGUAGCAAAUUUUAAAUCGCUUAAACAUCAAAUUUACCCAAGUUUUUGCCAAGGUACAGAAGUCUCAAAAAAUGAAUGCCUUGAACAAUGAAAUGCUAACAACUUGACUAUUGAAUCUUUGCCACCAUCUAUUGAUCAAUGAGAUUGUGUCAUUGAUCUAUUGAAGCUUUUCUUUGUUUUCAGCGAAUUUUAGAGCAGUCAGCUGACUGAAGGCUGAUCACCACCGAAAUAGUGUGGUGAUUACAAAUAAAAGUAAUACAUCUUCACAGCAAACUAACCGCUAAAAAGCACUUAAAUUUGAAAUUCUUGAAAAACUCAUGAUGGUUUCUUUCAAGAAUUUGUGGUAUAAUUUGAGAAGUUGUCUAACAUUUGUCUGGUAAACCAACUGGAAACUUCUCUUUUUUCCUUUGUGAGUUUGACAGUGAUCAGCUGAUUGAAGGUUUGAUCACCACUGAACUGCAAUGGUGAAUUGGUGAUUUCUAUAAAUGAGUUCUGUAUUUGUAUUUGUAGCUAAGUGCUCAAAGAUUUUAGAUUAAAAUUGUUUCUUGAGUAGGUGAUGAUGGUAAAAUGCAUUUUCCAGAUUCUUUUCUCCCCUUUUUUGAAGUUUGAUAUCUAAAUAUAGAACUAAGUUCUGCUGUACCAUGUCUGCUCACCCAAAAAAAUGAGUAUAUAACUGCAAUACUCUUGUAUCAUACAUGUUAUAUUUGUGCACUCCAGAAAUAAUAAUGUGCAUCAAAUGAAAAACAAGAAAUUGAAAUCUUAACGUCUGAACUAUUCCCCACAACCUAACGACACAAGUUACUACAAUUUGUGCAAAAUCAAGUGAGCACCAUGUUGCGGUUGGAGUGUUAUAAUUGCACGGGGAGCAUGAGAAUAAGAUGGGGAAAGUUCAAAGGAGAAGCUUCGCAGAAUCAUGACUAGCACCAGUUUGGCUUCCAACAUGGCAAAAUGUUGCCCAAUGCAUACACGAGGUCCCCAACCAAAAGGGAAGAAUGCAACUUGCCCCUUAGUCGCAUGAGGCACUCCCUCAGCAAACCUCUCUGGCUUGAACUCCUUCGCAUCAUCACCCCAUAUUUCGGUGUCGUGAUGCAAUACCAUUACUGGUAAAGACAGCAGCACAUCAGCCGGGAGACGCAUGCUUCCUAAUUUAGUUUCUUCAGCAACUCUACGACUAAGAGCAGGAACUGGAGCGUAUAGCCUUAGAACCUCGUGUAGUAUCAUGGUGACCUGUCAUGGAAGGAGAAACUUGUUAGAAUGCUAGCACAGGAAAACCCCUCCUUACGCUUUAUAUUAUGACAGACAGACCAGAUUGUAAAGUUCAUAUUUAGUUGCAGUUAUAUACAUACUGUAAUUUUUCAACCUGCAAAUUUUCUAUCCAAUGAAGACAUUCAUCUUUCUUAGAUGGCAGUUUGUUAUAAUCUCCUUUCUACUUGAAAUAUUUUUGCAGAAAGCUUCAAUCUUUGCCUUAAAGAUAAAAUUUCAGAUGCAUGGAGUAGAAAAAGAAGAAAUUUCGAGAAGUUAGUCCAAAAUUAAAGAUUAUAAAAGCUGUUAUUGUCAAAGGAUUUUCAAUGAAAGCAUGGACAUCAGAACACUAGAUGAAUUUCCAUCGAUAAAAGACUUUCUGCUGCAAGCCUCGACGGCAUAGCAAGCAUUGAUUCCGUCUACACAGUAUUGUGUGACUAAUAUGUGUCAACUAAGCAGCUUCUAACAAAGCAUAAAACUAUUAUUUCAAAACAGUUUUUGGAUAACUCGGAAGAGCAGCUUAAUGCCAAUGUAUGCUUCCCGUCAUCAAGCACUCAACAAGGCUUUAACUUCUCAUUUAAUGCAAGUGCUAGUGACAUUAAUGCAUUAUUUUACAAUAAUUGAUCAAAAAAUAUUAUUGUUUUUGUUGGAAUGUGUCAACUAAGAAGCUUUUCAUACCAGUUUCUUUAGUAUCUUGACCAUGUAUAGAGUUGUAUUCAGAAUUAAUUUUUGCUCUCUCAGAGAGUGCUCAAUCUCCAAUUUGGCCACAUGAGUACUGGACACUCACAAGGGUAGAAGCUUCUACUUCUGCGUCAAAAUAUCUCAAAUGAAAUUGAAAAUGCUCUCCCCAGGAAUUAGACCACCUGGUUCAAAUCCCCUUCCCCCUCCCUGCUUCUUAAAUCUCACCCCUCCCCAGCUACUAAAAACAAAUAAUAAUAAAAAAAUAAAAAAGAAAUUGAAAAUGUACUCACAAGGUUUAGGCGAUUUAGUCCAUCAAAAUCUGGUUUUCUAGUGCCAAAGAGUUGCAAAACCUCUUCUCUAGCUCGUGCUUGCCAAUCAGGAUACCUACUCAAUAAAAUCAUUGUCCAUACGAGCAAUACUGAUGUAGUCUCCUGCCCUGCAAAAUAGAACAGCUUGCAUUCUUCGAUGACCUCUCUGAUAGUCAUGCCAGCGCCAUCUUGUCCAUGGUUAUUGAUUUCUUUGAAGUUGGAUUCCAAUAGUAUACCCAACAAGUCAUCACCAUAGGCUUUACCUUCUCUCACUGCCUUUAUUCUUGAGUUGAUAAUUUCCAAAAUUGUAUCUUGAACUGCUUUUGCAAUUUGUUUCAUUCUUCGGUUCCUCUUAGUUGGCACGAACCUAUAAUGAGAUAAUUCAGAAAAUAAGCAACACAUUGUGUGCUUAUAAUACUCAAUUGAAUCCAAAUCAACUAUCAAGUUCGAAGCGAAAAGAAUUUAACUGAUAGUUUACAAAAAACCAACUUUCUGGAGGACUUAGAGAUCAGCAAAUACAUUUACCUCCAUCCUGGGAUGUCCACUGACUGUACAACCUUAAGCCAAUAUUCACUCUGUUCUCUUUGAAGUUCAAAUAUCCUUCUUCCUUCUUCAUAGUUACUGCCAAAUGCCGUCCGUGAAAUUGCAUCAGAAGUCAAAGUUUCAAGGUCUGGCCAUACAUCCAACUCACUUGAACCAUUCGGGGCAACAACCUCCUUCCAUUUGUUUAAUAUGUCACUAGCACUUGUAUAAAAUGAUGGAAGCAUAUGCUGCAAUCAAGACAACGAACCAAAUGAAAAAAAAAAUGCACCCCUUCAGCACCGGUACAAUACCAGUAAAGCUUCUUCAGGUCAUUCUACUUAAGUAGGAUUUCUGAGUCAUGUUUCUACCUAUUUGUCAAAGUGAACUGAUUCAUUUGAAGGGUCACUUCGUUUCAAAGGUGCCUUUUAAGACCACCUAAAACUAGAGCUGCUGACAAAUUCAGUACUCAGUGGUUUAUAAAACAAAUGAAAGUUACAAAACCUUUAACUUCUCCACAUGGAAAGCUGGGUUUAUAAGCUUUCUCUGUUUGGCCCAUUUAUCUCCGUCAUAAUUCACCAGUCCUUCGAUCAGCAACAAGCUAAGAGGAUUAAGACGAGGCUUUUGAAAGAGGUAGAUCUUUUGCAUAACCUCCCUAAUGAGUUCAGGCUCCAGGAUGUACACCAUUGGUGUUGGUCCAAGCCACACAUAUGUGCUCUUACCUGAAACUCAAAUUGCCAUGUCUCAGCCAAGUUUAUUUUCACCUUAUUUACAUCAUAAAUCAAUGGUAUUUAAAGCUGUAUCAUUUGGUGUGUGUGUUUUCUGAAGGAAAUGCGAAAAACAUGACACCAAGAAUUAAUAGGAGGGGAUCAACCUUAAACGUUUUUGGGGAGCGUCAAUUUUCAUCUACAGAACAGAUGUCAUGUACAUCACAACCACAUUUCUAAAUAACAGCAUUUACACAUUUGACAAUCCAAAUCCACUGUCUCAGAAUCUUCUGCUUGGCCAUUCAUCAAUGCGAUGUCCAAUUUUCAUUAUAUCAAAAUUUCAACCAAGUUUUUGGUUUCCAUAAAUGCUGCCAUCUAUAUUCUUAAUGUUGACAACACUUAUCAGCUUAACCCUAACAUGAUAAAGUUUUUAAUCCAGUUUAUUGGUAAUCUUUUUUCCAUGGCUAUUCCAACAUCUUAAACCCCAAAUUACACGAAAAGAAGAACAGAAAACCAAAACCAAUCAUAACAAAGCUGCCUUAUUUACCAAAAAGGGAUGGACAUAAUGGGUAAUUCAAAUAAGAAAAUCACAAGGUAGGAUAUGGAAUGCUUAGUGAACAAACAUCAUGUGAUGUCAAGCAUGUAAACUUUAACUGUCGCCCAACCAAGAACUUCUAAAAUCACUUCAUAAUUCUGCUUUUCUAGCUGAACCAUUCAGUGAAUAGACCUCACAAGGAAAGAAGUAAAACAUGAAAUAGCAGCAGUACCAUAUUUCUUCAGGGCAUCAGGAAAGGCAGGCAAGAUUCUUGGAAGGAUGUCAUCAGAGAGGUUGAUAGGCUUGGAUUGGGCUUCUCUGAUCAGGGUUGAAAUUUCUUUGAAGUCUCCAUACAGUAGUCUGUAAGGAUUUCCUUUGAGACCUUGCUCUUUCAGCUGCUUCUCCAGCUUCUUGGGCCUUAACCAUGCCCAGUUCAAUACUCUCCAUGCCAAUACCAAAAUUACAGCACAAGAGGAAAUUGCUGCAAUUCUGAUGUAGCCUAUUUCCAUUUCUGGACACUUAGCUAUUGCAAGUCUUAACGUCUGUAGCUUUCUUGACAGCUCAUAUAGUUGUUUUCAUGUACAUGCAAUUGAGUUUUGAAAAAAAUAACAUCGAAUUAGGAUACAUCAAAUAUGGGAUCUUUUAUCUCGUGCCUAAUAUUUAUAUAUCUUGUCUGAAAAAGCUUAAAUUUACAACACAAAGGUGAACGCAGUUCAGUAAUGGGGAUGAUAUCAAAGUUCCAUAAUGAACCCUCUCUCUCAUCUCAUUGACUUUCAUAUUUUUUGAAACUUAAGAAAUUCCCGGUAAAUAGAAUGAAAUCGAAUAAAACCACAAUUGUAAGGGAUAAUUGCGGAAACCUCACCUAAAGUUUCUAAUACUAGCACUUACCUCUCUUGUGGUUUAGAAAAUAGCACUUACCACCCUUGCACUUAAGGCUUGUGUUGCAGAUUCAGUCCAUGCCAGAAAAGUUACCAUUAAAAUUUUUUUUUAAGGAGUGAGAUGAGAAAUUUGUACCAAACUUGGCCUUCAUACUGCUUGCCAAGUUGUAUUAACAAAAGAAUGACAAAAUAUGAAAAGUUAUUAAGAAUUGGCAAAAUUUAAGGGGUGUAAGUGUAAUUGAAUGAAGUUUACCAACAAUACAUAAAGCAACAGUGGAUACUAACAGCUAGUUAAAUGACUAUAUAUCCAGGUUCUUGCAACAAAAUUUAUAAAUAAUACACGUCACUUUUAAAACUCUCUAUUAGUAAUAUGAAUAGUCAUUUGUAGGGGUAACACAACUAUUUAUGUUGUGAGCACCAAUCAUAUACAAUAUAUAUAUAUAUAUAUAUAUAUAUAUAUAUAUAUAUAUAUAUAUAUAUAUAUCGCUGAACAAUCAGCUAAUUAACAGCAUACUUAAGCAUUACUAAAAGUUAUUGAGCAUGAGAUGAGUCUAGUUACAAGUAAUUAGAAGUACAUACUAAUAAGAUAAAGUUGUCUUUAGUAAAUGAAAACUGCGGUAAGUGCAUUAGAACCAUGUACCAAAAUUGCUACUGCUGUUGAUAUUUUGGGCAAUCCAGUGCUACAAUUUUUAAUUGGACAGCCAACUUUGGAAAGUCAUUCCGAAGGGCAAUCCAUCGCUAUGAUUCACUGAUUUUGGGCAGAUUGAGAUUUAACCCCCUGUCCUAUCGUCCUGUCAGGUUUUGGUUCUUACAAUUGGAUUUUGCAUAUUUCGUCUUUCAUAUGUUUAAACUGUAAAAAUGUCAAUAAACUACAAUAACCCCUUUGUGGAUUUCAUAGAUUGUCAUAUGAUCCCUCUUAAUGUUUAAAAUAUUCACGUCACCUUUAUAAUUUGACGUGAAGUGCAAAUUUGAUGAUAAAUAAUAUCUGUAACAUUACUAGUUGAAAUACUAAGGUUGUGUUUGGAUUGUAUUUUUCAUGAUUUUUCAUGAAAAAAUUACUGUAGCGAUUUGAUGUAUGUAAGGAAAAAAUGUAAUAAGGAAAUGUGAUUACGAAAAAUGAUGUAAUUUUUCGACGGAAACAGCAAUCCAAACAACCUUUAAUAUUGGCUAAGCACGAGAUUGAAUAAUGGCAUGACUACCUCUGAUUUGUUUACACGUGUCCUGAUGCGGGAUGAGUCAAUUAACAAAACUUUUUAUUUUAUUUUUAUGCAUUUAUAAUCAUCAAAGCUCGAGAAAUUAAGUCUCCUGGCAUUUAAAGUCUGAAUCCAUUAAAUUAUUGAAUUGUUAAGUAUUAAAUCUAAUACAUUUAAGUGCAUAUCACAUUCAAUAAUAAGUGAAUAGCUUAUCACUUAAUUUUGAAAGCAAAUUUUGCCUAUGAAAUUCAAUACCAUUUAAUUAAUUCAGAUGUCCAAUUUUUGUUGAUCAAAUGGUCUGAAUAUGUAAAUUUAAGUACUGAGCUGAAUUAUAAAAAAGCCUUAGGCAGCUACGCUCCUUUUUGUAAGACUAACACAAACUAAUAAACACAUUGCUGCGGAGGUUGACUUCAAGCAAAUGAAGGCUGUGCGGACAAGCGUGGCUGCUGAGUUUUCGUUCAUUUUCAAAUGAAAUUUAACAAGAAAACUUCACAAUGCUUGCUUAAAAAUUACAAUCAGGGUUGAGGAAUUCACGAACGCCACAUGAUACAGUAAACCACAUGAUACAGUAAAGACAUAAGGGACAAACUGCUCCAUACAACAGUUUGUUCACUCCAGAAGGAGUACAUGAGAUCUAUAUAUCUCGAUUUUCGAAGAGAAGCCAAAUUGGAACAUCAACAACGUUUAUAUCCUUACAAGCUGUGGACACAAACAGCUGCAAACUAUGCAGUCAUAGUUUCAUACUGCAAUUUGUGCAAAAUCAAGCGAGCACCAUACUGCGGUUGAAUAGUUAUGACUGCACGGGGUGCAUGAGUAUAAGAGGGGGAGAGUUCAAAGGAGAAACGCUGGAGAAGCAUAGCUACUGCCAGUUUUGCUUCCAACAUGGCAAAGUUUUGGCCAAUGCAUAUGCGAGGUCCCCAGCCAAAUGGGAAGUAUGCAGUUUGGCCCUUUGUUGCAUUUGAGACUCCAUCAGCAAACCUCUCUGGCUUAAACUCCUCCACAUCAUCGCCCCAUAUUUCAGGGUCAUAGUGCAACAAAAUUGCUGGUAAUGAUACCUGCACUUGAGCUGGUAGAGUUAAAUUUCCCAACUGAAUAUCUUCAUCAGUUCUUCGAGGAAUUGCAGGUACUGGCGGAUAUAGUCUGAGAACCUCGUGUAGUAUCAUGGUGACCUAUCACAGACAAUAAACCACUCAAAUUCCCCACUAAAGCUCUCCAUAACACCAUUUUAAGAGUAUAUGCUCUUGAGACCUCACUGGACAAGAUUAUUGCAUAGAGUUUUGUUCUAAUAUUGAAGAUUGAAUGCAAAUAAAGAUUAAUCAAAAGUAAAUUAAGAUCCAUCUAGCAAAGCUACAUUAUACACAUCCCAAUAUUUUUUUUCCUAAUCAAGAAACUAUAGAGUGUGUGUAUUCAAGAGUUUGAGGUGAUUUCACAUCUAUGUGGUGGCAGAGCAACUAUAAAAGCACUAGAAUAUCACAAUGAUACAAUGAUACAAGGAUAUAUGUAAAUUGAAAAUAGAACUUACCAAUUUUAGGUGAUUUAACCCUUUAAAAUCAGGCUUGUUAUUCCCAAAGUGUUGCAAAACUUCUUCUCUAGCUCGCGCUUGCCAGUUUGGAUGCCUACUCAAUAAGACCAUUGUCCAUACAAGCAUCACUGAGGUGGUCUCCUGCCCCGCAAAAUAGAACAGCUUGCAUUCUUCAAUAACAUCUCCAAUAGUCAUGCCAAAAUCCUUGUUGCCGUGAUCAUCAAUUUCUUUAGAAUUGGAUUCGAGUAAUAUACCCAAUAAGUCAUCAGCACAAGCUUCCCCUUCUUUCAUUGCCUUCAAUCUUGCAUUUAUAAUUUCUCUAAUAGAUUCUUGAACAUCUUUGGCAAUUUGUUUCAUUCUUCUAUUUAAUUUGGUUGGCAAAAACCUGAAAAGAAUAUAGUUUCACAAACAAGCAACAAAAGCUUGUAUAUCGGACCUUCAUUUACUGGGUAAAGGGAUCUUUUCCAAGCAAUGGCAUCGAAUUUAGAAGUCAAAAGUUUCUUCAGAGCAAAGAAGGCAGUGAGUUAACACAAUUUACCUCCACCCUGGAAUGUAUACUGAUUCUACAGCCUUUAGGAAAUGUUCAGCCUGUUCCCUUUGAAGUUCAAAUAUCCUUUUUCCUUCUUGAUAGUUACUUCCAAAUGCCGUCCGUGAAAUGGCAUCAGAAGUCAGAGUUUGAAUGUCCGGCCAAACAUCCAACUCACAGGAGCCAUUGGUCGAAACAAUCGCCUCCCAUUUGUCCAACAUCUCACUAGCACUUGCAUAAAAUGAAGGGACCAUGUGCUACAGGCAAGAACACGGGAAAACGAAAAAGAGGUCAUGUACAAUGCUACUCCUCCAGUAAGAAUUCUCAGUUCAUUUUGUAAAUUAGGUAUCAUAUUUGUUUUUGCUUUUCCUGUAAUCAGAUAGCUUACCACUUCAUUAUGGUGAACGCAUUCAUUCCAAUGAACUAAUCAAAGUUUCCAAGAUUUCUGGUAUGACGACAACCUUACCUUGUUGCUCUUAUUAAGAGAUGAAGUAAUAAUUCAUUAAAUACCCAGAAAAAAUUAGAGAAAACCUUCAAUUUCUCCACAUGGAAAGCGGGAGUGAUGAGUUUUCUGUGUUUAGCCCAUUUAUCUCCAUCAUAGCUCACCAGCCCUGUUGCCAGCAAUUUGGUCAAUGGAUUAGCAGGAGCUUUUUGAAAGAUGUAAAGCUUUGUUGUGAUCUCCCUUAUGUGUUCAGGGUUCAAGAUCAGCACCAUCGGUUUUGGUCCAUGCCAUAUGUAUGUAUUCUCACCUGAGAGUCAUUCACCACUUGUUUCAACUCAGGAUUAAACAAAUAUCUUAAAUCAAUCAAGGGUACCUAGAACUGCUAUCUUUAUCUGUUCUUUUUUUAAAAUCAUUUAACAAGAUGGAUACGUUGGAAACGAGAUAUUGGAGGGUACUUGACCUUAUGAACUCCUGCCAGUACCUGAAAAUCAGACGGCAUGCUAUACAGUAGAUAAACUGGACUCCUUGGAUUAAUUGUGAUCAUAAUAUUUAGUUCUGAUCAUCCUAACCAAUCACUCAAGAAGAUAUAAAGGCCUCAUUUAUUUUCGAAUACUACUCGGCAUUGCUAUCUAUUUGAUUCACCAUGUUUGAGGUUUACAUUAAUCAUGAGAAGAUUGAGGCUUCCUGUUGUACUACAGUGUCAUUGAGUUUGAACUCUUGAGACUGGAAAGUGGACAAGCAACCUAAUUUAGAAUAAUUUGUCCAGAUUGGCACAUCCACUGAUCCACCCAUUUGUAUUCAUAUGCCAAGGUUCAACUCUCGUUGCUCUAAUUUGCACUAUUUGCUCUGCAAUCUCCUUCAUGUACUCAAAACAGGGGGGAAAAGAAAAUUUCUUGCUAAAAAAAGCUGUCUCAUUUACUGAAUAGUGAAAACAGAUUAGUAUCCACUAUUGCAUUAUUUGCCAUAUCAAAAAUAAGAUAGAACUAUCCUUAUGAAAUGCUUCCAGACUGAAAGCGAUACUGUUUUGUGUGUAAGGUGUAAUGAUGACUCUGCAAUCUCCUUCAUGUACUCAAAACAGGGGGAAAAAGAAAAUUUCUUGCUAAAAAAAGCUGCCUCAUUGCAAGGCAAAUUGAAGUAAGGAAUCUUGAAAGGUAAAUUGCAAUCAUUGAAGAAAUCCAUGAACACUUGCAAAGAAAGCAUCGGACGAUUGAAAAAGAUGAUACUACUACUUACCAUACUUCUUGACAGCUGCACAGAAGUGAGGAAUAACUCUCGGGAUGAAGUCUUCAGAGACAUUGAUUGGCUUGGAGUGAGCUUCCUUAAAGUGGGUUGCGAUCUCUUUGAAGUCUCCAUAGAGAAGUUUGUAAGGAUUUCCUCUGAGCCCUUGCUCCUUCAGCCGCUUUUCCAGCUUCUUCGGAGUUAACCACGCCCACUUGAACGCUCUCCAUGCAAGCACUGAAAUCAAGAGCAGAAUACAAGAAGAGAACACAGCAAUUGGGCUGUAUGCUAUCUCCAUUACAGAGGCGUAGUUAAAGGUUUAUUGUGAUCAUCUGCUCUUGCAUUCAUAUUUAUAGCUGAAAGUUAUCGGAAAGUCCGAGAAAAGUUGUCUUCGUGUUGUCCCAGAAUUCAGUUUUAGAGAGCAAGUUACUCUUUAGUCACUAGUUGUUUAACGACUCACGCAACUUUCCUAUAAUUAUAAUUUUAAGAACUAUACAUAACUCACAUAUUUUGGAUUAAAAGUAUCAAAAUCAUGCAAAUUAUUAUUGUUAUUAUUAAUUUUAUGCUAGAGUCAGUUGAAACCUCAAGACUAAUCUCAAGUCAUGACGGAAGUUUUUUGUAAAGCAUGUAGGGUUUAUGCAUAGCUUUAAAAGUUAUAGGAAGUGCAUGAAAAAAAGAAUUACACUACUGGAGACUAAAGUGUAAUUCAUCUUAUAUUUAUACAUCUUGAGUAUUGAAGUAAUUUUAGCUUUUGCAUAGGGGUUAUACUGAUAAUUUUAGCUUCCGUUGUUACAUAUGACGGUUUUCAUGAUUAUAGUUCAAAUUGUAAAGUAGUUAUAUAUUAACAUUUGAAAUCAUAUAAAAGGUAAGAAAAAAAAGUGAAACUAUUAAUGGCUAAAAUAAUAUAAUUUAUCUUAAAUUUAAAACUUUGUGGCGACAAAGAAUGGGUAAAUAAAAAUAGUAAAGGAAUGGACGGUCAUUCUGAUGACCGUCCCUGAACAGUUAAUGGCCAUGAUUUGGCUAAAAAAUUUUGUGCGGUUCAAAUCACAAGUUGUGCGUCAAUUUUAAUACCGCGUGUGGGGCCCGCAAAAUUUUGUACUAAAGUUAUACGUUGUGCAAACAAAAUUACUCCAUGUGCAACCAAAGUUACGCGCCGUUGAAAAUAGCCAAAAUCACUGUGAAUGGUUACACCUAUAAUCGUCCGUGCCCCUUGUCCAAGGUUGAGGCAUUAUCUGGGAGUUUGUGACAAAAAAAUAAAUAAAUACAGCUUUUAAAAAUUAUUAUAAUUUUGGAAAGGAGCCUAGAGAGAAAACUUGGAAGCCAAAAUUUGGACUUUCGUCUGCAUUCUAAAAAUCUAGGUUUUCCUUGAAAAAUACCGCCAAUGGGUGCGUACGCACCUGUUUGAAUCAGUUGUGGUUCAGUUUCUUUCGAGUUUCCGUUUGACCUCUUUAUGUCCCUCUUCCCCCUAGUAUCAAUGUUUUGAAACUCGAACCGGUCAUUGACUCGAUCGAGAUUAGGGGUCAAUGGGUUUGACCCUAAUUGAAUCCAUCUAAGAAUCAGAUGAUGUCAUAAAUGUAGACACCAAAUUUUUGCUAAUUUUUUAUAUUUUCUUGAAUUUUGUUGAUUUCAUGCAUCAUUUACUUUUGUGCACUUUAAUGUGAAUUUUCUUGUUUUGUAGGUUUAUUUUAAAAAAAGAAAGGAGAGAGAAAAGAGGAAAAUAAAGAAAAAUUAAAAAGAGAAGAAGAAAAAGAAAAAAUCUCUAAUCAUUUUUUUUUUCAAACUAAUACACCAUUCACCCAAUUUAAUACUCCACCUCUCUUCCCUCUUUUCUCCGGGUACAAAAUUCAUCAUUUUUUUACCAACAGCUUCACAACAACUCCAACCAACGCUUCUUUCUCAAUUCACUCUCUUAGUUCUUUCUUUGGCUCUCAAUUCACAAGUAACAAAAAAAAAAGAGUAAUUUUAUUUAUAUCGACAGUGUAUGUACUAUCACGUUAGAUACACGACACAUAAAUAAAAUUUGAGUUUCAAAUUUAAAUUUAAAUUAUAUAUCAUGCAUCUAAUGGUGAAAGUAUAUACACUAUUAGUGAAUAAAAGAUUAAUUUAAAAAAAAAAAAAAAAAAGAAGAGGAAAGCAACUUUCCCUCAAUUCCCUCUCCCUCUCGGAUCUCCUUUCCCCCCUUCCCCUCUUAAUUUUUCCGCCAUCACACACUCUCACAAAACUCUCUCUCGGUUCAGUUUGCACGCACAAGCACACCAAGCACAAAAACUCUAUCAAUUUCAAAACAACUCACCAACUUUUUCCUCCCCCCAACUCUCUCUCGGCUCUCCCUCAAAUUUUCACACCUCACACUCCAACAACCUCCAACUCCCUUUCUCUUCCUCUCUGCUCUCUCACUCCCUCCCUCUACACAUAUUCAUCCGUAAACCAAACACAGAAGAGUAUCCUUUCCGUUUUCCCGUGAUGUUGAGCAAAUAAGCAACAAACACGCAUUUAAUAUAAUUAAUUAAAAGAAGAAAAGCUUAAAAAAAAUACAUCAAUGAAAGUUGUAGUCCGUUGCCAAAGUUUUUGAUGGGACCAUGUGCUACAGGCAACAACACGGAAACGAAAUGGAGGUCAUGUACAAUGCUACUCCUACUCCUCCAGUAAGAAUUCUCAGUUCAUUCUGUCAACUAGGUAUCAUAUUUGUUUUUGCUUUUCCUGUAAUCGGAUACUUUACCACUUCAUCACAGGGAACUCAUUGGUUCCAAUGGACCAGGGGCAGUAACGGUAACCGUUCCUGGCAACUACGUGCAUUUUACACACGGUGUAACUUACUUUUAACAACGUGUAACUUUAGAACAAAAUUUGUGGGUCCCACAUUUGUUGUUAAAUCGAGAUACAAGAUGAAAUCUGGACCGUACAAAUUUUUUUGGCCAAAUCUUGGCCACUCCUGCCCCUCUUCCGGUUCCAAUGAACUAAUCAAAGUUUCCAAGGUUUCUGGUAUGACAGCCUUACCUUGUAGAUCUUAUAAAAGAUGAAGUGAUAAUUCAUUAAAUACCCAGAGAAAAUUAGAGAAAACCUUCAAUUUCUCCACAUGGAAAGCAGGAGUGAUAAGUUUUCUGUGUUUAGCCCAUUUAUCUCCAUCAUAGCUGACCAGCCCUUGUGCCAGCAAUUUGAUAAGUGGAUUAGCAUGAGGCUUUUGAAAGAUGUAAAGCUUUGUUGUGAUCUCCCUUGUGUGUUCAGGGUUCAUGAUCACCACCAUCGGGUGUGGUCCAAGCCACACGCAUGUAUUCUUACCUGAGAAUCAUUCACCACUUAUUUCAUUAAACAAACAUCUUAAAUCAAUCAAGGGUGCUUAGUACUGCUAUCUUUAUCCGUUUCUUAUAUCAUUUAACAGAAUGGAUAUAUUGGAACCAAGAUACUGGAGGGUACUUCACCUUAUGAACUCCUGCCGGUACCUGAAUAUCAGACAGCAAUGUAUACAAGAAGCACGAUUAAAAGAAAUGCAUUACUGCCAAUUGGACUCCUUGGAUUAAUUGUGAUCAUAAUAUUUAGUCCUGAUCAUCUUAACCAAUCACUCAAGAAGAUAUAAAGGCGUCAUUUAUUUUCGAUUUGAUUCACCAUGUUUGAGGUUUACAUUAAUCAUGAGAAGAUUGAUUCUUCCGGUAGUACUGGAGUAUCAUUGAGUUUAAACUCUCGAGACUGGAAAGUCGACAAGCAACCUAAUUUAGAAUAAUUUGUCCAGAUUGGCACAUCCACCCAUUUGUAUUCAUAUGCCAAGGUUCAACUCUCGUUGCUCUAAUUUGCACUAUUUGCUCUGCAAUUUCUUGCUAAAAAAAGCUGUCUCAUUUAUUGAAUAGUGAAAACAGAUUGGUAUCCACUAUUGCAUUAUUUGCCAUAUCAAACAUAAGAUAGAACUAUCCUUAGGAAAUGCUUCCAGACUGAUAAAAAGAAAGGUGUAAUGAUGACCCUGCAAUCUCCUUCAUGUACUCAAAACAGGGGGAAAAAGAAAAUUUCUUGUUAAAAAAAGUUGUCUCGUUGCAAGGUAAAUUGAAAUGAGGAAUCUUGAAAGGUAAAUUGCAAUCAUUGAAGAAAACCAUGAACACUUGCAAAGAAAGCAUCGGAUGAUCGAAAAAGAUGAUACUACUACUUACCAUACUUCUUGACAGCUUUACAGAAGUGAGGAAUGACUCUUGGGACGAAGUCCUCAGAGAGAUUGACUGGCUUGGAGUGAGCUUCCUCGAAGAGGGUUGAGGUCUCUUUGAAGUCUUCAUAGAGAAGUUUGCAAGGAUUUCCUCCGAGGCCUUGCUCUUUCAGCCGCUUUUCCAGCUUCUUGGGAGUUAACCACACCCAGUCGAAUGCUUUCCAUGUAAGCACUAAAAUCAAGAGCAGAACGCAAGAAGAGAAUACAGCAAUUGGGCUGUAUGCUAUCUCCAUUACAGAGGCGCAGUUAAAGGUUUAAUUUUGAGCAUCUGCUCUUGCAUUCAUAUUUAUAUCGGGAAGUCCACGUAGAGUCAUCUUCAUGAUGUCCCAGAAUUCAUCAGUUUUAGAGCAAGUUACUCUUUAGCCCUAGUUGUUUAAUGAUUCACGUAACUUUCCUAUAAUUUUAAAAGCUAUACAUAACUCUCAAAUUUUGGAUUAAAGUAUGUUCGGGGGUUAAUAUCUUUAAUGCUAGCGGUCCCAGAAAAGGGGCGUCAAUCGUUCAUAUUGGUCAUUCCGGUUUCCCCUGAGACUUCAAUUCAAACUUCCAAUGAGCCUUCAAUACUAUGAGCUUAUGAGGUUAUCUUUUAUCCAAAAUGUUGCAGAUUCUAAUUGCACUUUUAUUUUGUAAAAUCAAACACCCCUGCCGGGCUAAGUCUGCCGCCCUGUAGGGGACAACGUUUCAAAAAAAAAAAUGCUAAGUUGCUGCAGGCUUCCUUUUUUUUUUUUUAAAGAAUCACCCAGCCCGGUAGGGGACAACAUUCAUAACAUUCAAUUUACCUAGCACCCUAAGAUUAUUGAUUACCCUUGAAACUGGUUCUGAGCAACAGGAAACCCGGAGAGGGAGCAGAUUAAGACUCGGGCAGAAACUUUUGAACAAUUUUCUGAAAAAAUCGUUAAAUUUCAAAAUGCAAGAACAUUACACUGCCUGGCAGUUCUAGACAAACAAAAGUAAUAACGGGAUUUAACUAAAUGUGGAAUUUCGAUUUAUGUAUUCAAUCUAUAGCUUGUGCAAAAUCAAGGGAGCACCGUACUCUG